rnacentral:lncRNA from 1 species
AUCGAAUUCAUGAUCAAGACCAUCCACUUCUAUAAGAGAGCAACCAGGCUUCUUCUGGAUACCCUGAUGUCCCUGAAGAAGGCAUAUCUUUCUGACGACUUCGAGGAUCUAGUCCUUCUGCAACUUCCUUAGACUAGGAGGAGAUCCGAAAAGGUGAUGGAAGAAGAUGUUAAAGCAGCAGCUACCUAAUUAAUGGAAUUACAAGGCACAGUUCUUUUUCUUUUUUCAGUCCUGUUUGCCACUUUGUGAUCCUAAUUUGGUUUGUAUGGAAUAGGGAAAGUUUCUCCAUAUGGUAUGAAUGUAUAAUGGUGGUGGUGUUGUUGCUGCAACCGAGCUUCCAGUUGAUAAAAAUAAGCAACGCUAUUUAACAAUAUAUUGUGAAAAUCUAGUAAUAUAGUUGGUCUUGGCAUCCAUUAGAACGGAGCUGCCAUUUAUACGAUUAAUCUAGUGAACCUGGACCAACAUAUUCGCGCGAACAAGAAGAUCGAUCAUACAGCCGACCGAUGCAUAGUGAUCAACACGAGGAGUAAGCAUAUAAGUUUCAGACAUGGCUUUCAAUAUCCCGAACGCCGUUAGAUCGAAUUAUUACCCUUCUCGUUAACUUUGACUGGUUCAGGUUAGUUACCCCAGCAGUUGUGGUAAAAUUAUAAAGACAGGGUUUUUACUUUUGAGGUACAAAACCAAAUCCAACACACAAUCUGGAAUCUGGAAGUGGGUCCCACAGAAACCCUUACCCUUUCCUUCACUUCAGUACAAAACCAAAAAAACAAAAACAAUCUGUGUUCUGGGGAUGUAUUUUAUCAAAAACAAAGGAGGAGUGGAUUUAAUUCACAUGCAAGUAUAACAAAUAUUGCUUUGCAUGAUUUUCUUUACCUUUGAUUCAGCCUCUUCAAUUCAGAAGGUAUUCAAUUGUUUCAGAUGGGUUUACCAAAAUUUGUUUUUUUUCAGAUUCCUGUAGAUUGUAAACUGAUUAUAGUUAUAAGGAUUCUUCUUUGUCUUCAUUGUUUCUUCAAGCAAGAAAUUAUUUAGCUUUUUAUGUGUAAGAGUUUGAGAGGAAGAGAAGAAUAUACCUUCCUGUAGUUGAAUUGUCUAUGCCUCCCUAGAAUUCACAGUUCUUCUCGAAUUGCUGAUGGGUAAACAUAAGAUCCAGAACAUUGGCAAAAGAUUAGAGCUUUCGAACUGAAACAGCACAAAAGUAAACAGCUCAUGAAGUACUGAACUAAAUUCUGGAAACAAUUCAAUUACUCCUAAUGAAAAAAGAAAAUUUCAAUUUCGGUUUACUCCUGUUGUUUUGGGUUUAUUUCAUUGUUGUAUUAGGUAACAGAGUUUUUCGAUAAUGUUUCUUUCCGAGUUAGAUCAUGUUUCCUAAUCUCAGUUGGUUAUAUUAUGUUUUAUGUUAUAUAUGACCUCCAAUAUGGAGAAGAAUAAGAUUAUAGAAGAGAGGGUGAUUAUAGAAUAAGAUUACAGUUGUUAACUAUAUAGACAACUACCAUAAGUUAUUGAUUCUCUAUCUUCCCAGUGAUAUCAGUUCUUCAAGCAUGGAAAUCGACUCACAUUGUUCUUUCUACAGCGUGGAACAAUUAGGAACAAUUGCACCCAAAGUCCUUGAAAUCGCGAACGAAGUGGACACAAUAAUCAGAUUCAGAAGCUUUGACAAGAUUGGUAUCAGCUGGAAAGAGGCUCCAAUACCCAUUAUUUAUGAUACGCCAAAACUUCUUACUGAGAGAAGGUUUUUUGUCCUUCUCUCUGAUGUCAAACGAUUAUCCAAAAGGCAUGUGUAUACAAAGAUGAUGGCUGAGAAUCUUUCAAGCUUGUAUGUAGGAGAACUUUCGCAGGCACCUGUUCUUGAAAGAAUAUUUAAGGUGGUUGAUAAAGCCGUUCCCGGGGUGCCUAUUAAUAUUAAUAUAUAUUAUGUGAGUAUUCGCUUCUUGGACAGUGGAAGUAGUGCUGGCAUUGGGGAUAUAACACCUCACUUAUCGGGAGGGUCAAGGCGUUCAAACGAUGAAGUUAUUAUUGAUAGGGCUACAAUAUUUAAGCCGAUUCCUGCAACUAAAUCAUCCAUUGAGGCUUUGGAGAAACUGAUGCCUGAUAGUUUGGAUGCUAAUGUAAGAGAGACACCAUGUGCCAUUUGUAGAGAGGCUCUUGAUCACUUCAUUGCUGUAGAAGCGGAGACUGAUCAUCAGCCGGUAAUUAGACGCUUGCCCUGCUCGCAUAUGUAUCAUGGAGAUUGCAUAGACCUGUGGCUUGAUAUAAAUAACUUUUGUCCCGUGUGCCGAUAUUCGUUGGCAGCCGUGGAAGCUGUUAGAGAGGCAUCAAUGCCUGGUUUUGCAAGCGAAGCCAUUGAUAAGAUACUUCCCUCAGGAAGAAGGCGGCUGGAUUGGCCUAGGAUCAUGAUUUCUGCCGUUGGUAUGAUAACUGCUACUUUGUUUUGCAGAUUAGUUAAGCGGAGUUGAGGGUAUUGGCAUGAGGGGAAUAAAUCGUCUGCUAUGUCGUUGGCCGUCCAUAAAUAAAUAGGACCAGAAUAAAGCCUUCCAAUAAAGCGUCCAUAAGACGCUUACUGUGCCACUGGCAUGUACCUGGCUUUUUGGUUUUUCUUAUUUUUUCCUUUUUGUAGUGUUUAUUAUUGGUUUCCUUAAACUUUCAGCGGACACGAUUUGAUUCAUAAUCAUUAAAAGAUUACUCCUUGUCUCUGUAGAAAUUAAGCAAAGCUGAUUAGUUUUGUGAGUUUGCUCGUUACAGUCACCUCAAUCUCUUUUGAGAAGUACUGUCUCUUUGAGUUUGUUAAAACUUUUAGUCCUCAGUUAUUACUUUUGAUUUUGUGUAUGCUUUUUCAUAAUACUUAUUAGGUACUUUAGGGUAAUUUCUUCAUUUAUUGUAUUUGUUUGUGAUUAUAUACUAAACUAGAGUAGAAGAUGAGAAAACUGGUACUUGUAGGUUCUUUGAUUUUAUUUCAUUAUUUUUGAUGUUGUUUAUAAUUCUUGUUAAGUAUGUUGAUUAACUACUUUGGAGUUUCAGCUUGGGGGGGGGGGUUCGGUUGUUUUAGUUCCAUAUUUUUCUUUAUAAAAGUUUGUGACAUUUGGGACUCAGGUCUGUAUGUAAAGUUUAAAGUGGAAAUAGGUUAUGUUUUUUAAAUGUUGAAUUAUGGCACUUAAGUGAUUUAUUCAAUUUUUUGGGAGCAACUAUGAAGGUGUUUAGUAGUUUAUUGAUAUAAUGAUAUAAGUUGAAAUUUGGAAACUUGUUUUUAGUUUUUUGUUCAUCUUCAACUUGUCAAAUCCUAUAAUUGAGACACAGGAUUUCCACUGCUAAUGAAGGCGCUCAGAAUGCUCAAGCGGACCAUUGGAGAAACAGAGCUGGUGGGUUUCUUAUACAGUGAUUACUUGCACCAUUUGGCAUGUUGAGUUGCUACUGUUCGAAACAAACACCGAUUAAUGCAAUUCUCGAGAAAUUCAUUGUGAGAACUUUACCAGAAGUCUCUCUACAAUCAAAGGCUCAAUCUAUCAAGAAACCACUGUGCGAAGAACAAAUUUUACAGGUAAUUGGUGCUUUUUUCUUUUCUUUUCUCGUGCUGAUAGGAACUUAGAUUCCUAUAUUUUAUGUUGCAUAUUUGCUGUUUUGGAAUUUAACUGGUUGUAUAAGGACUUUAGAAGCUAAAAUGGUAUGGCAGCAACGCGAAUUUGGAUCGCGAAGCUCCACAAUGUUUGAAACUGAUGUGCGUAACAGAAGGGAAUAAAUGCUGUAGCAGCAUGCUUAAUCUUUUCUAAUUUGAUUGUCUAGGUAUUAGAGUUCAAAAUCUUGUGUUGGCUGAUCUAUGCUUAAAUUGUCCUUGUGGUUAACUGUGCUUGAAAGAUUAAACUACGAAAUCAGAAUGCUUGUAACUUGCAUCAUAUUUUCACUGCACAUUGUGGUAUGGUUGCUUUAACUGUGUACUUGAGUGUGAUAACCAUAGAAGUAAUGUGUCCUUUCUAGUCAAUAACUUCUUGUAUGCAUUCCUUAAGUAUUUGGCUUCUGAAAUGCGACGAGUGUCAAUAAAUUCUGCUUAUCGUGGCUUGGUUGUUUCCUUUUUCAGUCGCAUCAAUAACUGAGGGGCGGUCUUUGUAUCCCUCGUUUUGGAUCCAAGUUGUGAUUUGACUUUAAAACUCCAUUUGAUUUGGGGAGACUUUAUAUUUUCCUUCCUUGUGUCAUAUUUGUUGGAAUGUUUAUGAUAUCAAUGCUAGCAUGUUGUCUUGACAUCCAUUAAAGAAGCGUACAUACUUCCUCUGCGUGCAUAUUCCCAAGUUUCUUUAAGCUCACAGAAACAGAUGGCGUUACAUUGUAGACUUCUAUCCAACAGACCUUACUAUGGGUGUAGGACUUUACUUUUUAAUUCAGUGACUAUUCACAUGUUGAUUUCUUUUCAAGUCCGAAGCAUUUCACCUUCAUGCAUAUCUACAAUAUUAUUUAGCUGGUAGACAUGUGAAAUAGCGAAUGACAUUGGUAUCCAGUAACUUCACUGUAGGUCAAUGUCGUCUUAAAGGUUUUGUUUCUGGUCAAUAUUAUUUCAGAUCUUGAGUUUUAGACCAUAAGUUUCUGUACUGCACUUACUAACAGUUUGUGUCAAAUGAUAUGCGAGUAACGUUCACUACAGGUCAGUGAUUGUUGACAGUGUUGAUUGUAUAUGAUUACCUGCAGUUUCUGUAAUGACAUCAAAGGGGAAGAGGCCGAUACAAAGUUGGGAAAAGCGAAGGGAUCAAAAAGUCUGGUGAAGUCAAAAUGGUGGAUAUCAGAUAGAAUAGAACCCAGAUUUGAGUAGCUUUUAACCAUCUCACAAAGCAUGAACUGUUUAGUUCAAGAUAAUUGUUUACUCCACAAAUUGCUAUUAUUGAAAUGUAACUACAGUAUUUUCUUUGCUUGGUGCUGUCAAGUGUGUGUUACUAAUGUAAAAUGUUAAACACUUAAAUGCCAUGAGAUUUUAAACUGCAUUCAAGUGUUUAAUGCAAACGUAGUUACCGGCAUGCAUCGAGGCCAGUAUUUCUGGUCCUCUGAUAAAUUUGACAGUAAAACCAAUGAAAUAAAGCUCUUCUUUGUCAGAAUCCCAUGGCAACAACACUUGAAAACCAUCCUAUAUAUAUUUAAAAAAAAAAAAAAAAUACCAUAACGAUAAUACUUAUAGUCAUAGACUUGAUAGUAAAAGCAAUAUACAUCCUACUAAAACUCUUUUUUUUAUAAAAGUCCCCUGGCUCCCAUACUGUACGAUGCCGUAUCAAAUCGAAAAGAACAGAGCUCCAAAACAUUGAAUACUUAUCCUCUUCAUUCUGCCUCACCUCCUCAGCUCGUCAAUGAGCUCACCAUCCUUAAAGGCAGACACAAGCUUUUUUCCAUCAUAUUCCUUCAGAUCUUCCACCGUGUACAUGUCAGCAUCUACCAUGAGGAGAAAUUCAUACUCCAUUUCCUUAAGGAGUUCCAAGAUUGAACAGUUCACCCUCCACUUCUUGCUCUCACAAUUAACAUAGUAAAUAACAUUUUGACCAUCCUUCAUCCUGGUCACAUACUCCUGGAAGCUUGUGAGCUCUUCACGACACUUGGUGGAGUGGUAUCGGAGCAGGUUACCCAAUUGGGUUCUGUUCUGCCUGUCCACAUGAAUUCCCAGCUUCAAGUUCUUGGAAAAUGCCUCAUAGAACUUUGUGUAAUCCGUUUUGUUUUUAGCAAUCUCAUUAAACAUCUCAAAGCAAUACUUUACGAUGUUCUUCCUGAUCACAUCCAAAGUCAUUCUUUGUCGAGGCAUUUCACGACAUAUGUUGAGUGGCAUGUGGUCAGAGCCUACAACACCCUUAACAAAUUCAAGGUACUCUGGAACCAACUGAUCCGACUUGUCCAUGAUGAACACCCUCCUGACAUAAAGCUUGAUGUUAUGAGAUUUCUCCCUGGUGUCAAAGUGUUGGAAUGGGGCACUCUUAGGGACAAAGAUAAUGCCAUUAGCUUCAGGCAUGGAGAAAUGCUUGAACGCAAGCAGGUGUUCCCCAUCACUGGUCAACCUCUUGAAGGGAUGAACAUACUCAGCCAUGCUGACCUCCUCAGGUUUAGAGAGCCAGCAUGGUCUAGGAUCAUUGAUAAUCUUCUGGUCUGUUUCAGUGCCGGAGAGGCCAACUGGAUCGCUCACAAACUCAGAGGCAAGCUUCCUUGAAAGGUAUAUUGGAUAGCUUAUGAAUUCUGAGUGCUUCUUCACAAGCUCUUCAAUCCUCCCCUCCUCCAAGUACUCCAUCUGGUCAGUACCGUUACACAAAAACGAAAGUUAAUUUCCAAUGAAAACAUACAAGAAAAACUCAACAGGAACAGGUCAUUGGUUUUAAAUUAUACCUGAUCUGCUUUUAGGAAAAGAGUGACCUUGGUGCCCCUCACAAGUUUCUCGCCAUGGACAUCCUUGAUGACAGUAAAGAAGCCAUCACCCUGUGAUUCCCACAUGUAUUGUUCAUCUUCAUCAUGUUUUGAGAAAACCUGGACUUUGUGGGCGACAAGAAAAGCAGCGAAGAAACAACAACCAAACUCUCCAAUCAUGCUCGGAUGAGAUAAUUCCUGUAACUUCAAAUACUCCAGAUACUUGUUAGUUCCCGACCACCCAAUAGUACCCAAUUCAUGCUUCAGAUCUGCAUAUACAUGAAUGAUAGACCAAAUUAGAUUCAGUGGAACAAUUAAACAAAGUCAAAAAAGGCUGAAUACUUAAUUCCCUACAAAUCUACAAUUACACAAUGGUUUAUUUGUAUUAAAACACAUAUGAUGCAUUAAAAGAAUGCAGUAGAUGCAGUAUCAAAAUAUUCAGUAACCUGCUUUAGUCAUCCCUAUGCCAUUAUCCGUGAUAGAAAGUGUCUUUUCAGUCUUAUCAAUUUCAAUUUCGACUGAAAGUUCUGGAUGACAACCCAGGCUCUGCAUUUUAAACCUGCCCAAAGCCUUAAUUGCACAAAACAAAACACCAUCAGUCCCAAAAUUCACAGAAACCCAAAUCCUAACCAAAAUCUUUCCUAUUACAAUGGUGGAGACUUACAUCAGAGGCGUUGCUGAUCAGUUCACGAAGAAAAACCUCUGGGCUUCUAAAAAUUCGUUUGAUAACCUCUAGACCUUCAAAUCGCGUACCUCAAUAUAUGCUGCCCCAACCUGAGGUCCCUCAAACUCAGUAACAAAAUCGUCAAAGCCAUUCCAUUCUAACGGAAGACCGAGAGUCAGGACUUGAUCAAUUUCAGAUUCAGGUUCAGGAAACUGCACAAAAUGACCAAAUGACAAAAUAAAAUGUACAAGUUCGGACGGACUUACCCAUGGAGGAUCCUCCGGAGGCAUCGCGAUGAAGAUUGGCAUCUUUUCCUUCAUACCAGACAUCUUGCAAAAGCCCUCCUCAUAUGCUCCAACAGGUUGAGCUCCUCCUCCUAUGAAAUCUUUGGGCAUGACAGCUUCAGAUUCAAAGGGCAAGAUGAUACCUGGGUAGCCCCCUGACAUAGUUUUCAACCUCACCCUCUUGCAAAUUAUCGGCAAAAGAGAAUCGAGGGUUUCUUUUAUAGUGAGAUUAGCAUUUGAUCAGUGAUUAAGGGGCGAGGAAUUACAAAUAAGCCCUCGUUUUACCUAUUUAAGAUUGGAUUAAGGCAAACCCAUUGGCCCAUUAAACGUGGCACGUGAUUUGCUCGUGGAAAGUUGGAAACUAAAUAGUAAAAUACAAUCAAAUAUUUGCACUCCAGUCCACAAUUCCACAAAUAUACAUUCCAGGCCACAAAACAAAACCAAAAAGCAAAUAACCAUAUAUGCAUCAAGACAUAUGGUAGUCCUCUGUGUUCUAGAGACCUUCUGCCCUCUGUUGUAUAUCAACCAGAAUACAGAUGCAAUGUCCUUUCAUUUGCAGCACAUUUGAGAGAUCAGCCUUCCCCAUUUGUCGGAACAUCAAGAUAGGAGACUGUAAUUAGAACAUGGCAGUGAUAUGUCAGCUAGACAGCAACUCAGCAUAAAAUGGAAAUAAAAUCCACUAUACAAGCGAGAGUUGUUGUCACUUCCAUUUAUCGAUCAAGUCUUUGAAAUACCUGUUACCCAAAGCUAUAUAACAUGUAUUACAUUUUGUAUGUUCAACUGUCAGCUCCAAAUGGCAAAUGUGUCUACAUGAACAGUAUGGCCUAGUAGCUUCACUAGCACGUUAUCCAGGUAAAAAAUAUAAAAAGUUUGAAUCAAUAAUGAAAUAGUUUAAGAAUGGAAAUGAAGCUGACCUUACUCGUGUUCAAAUUGGUUUCUUGCUCUACGCAAGUUUCACACUACAUGGAACCAUGUUGAUUCAGCCUCAGGCACUCAAGCUACCUUGUGGGUUUAUUGUCACACAAAUUUGAUAACUGCAUAUAAAACAUUUGAAAUUUCAGGUUCAAGAAGACCACAACAUUAAACACUGGUAUACCGGGACUAUGGCAAAUCAUGCAUCAUAUUAAGUAUAUUGUUUGAACAUCUAUUUUUGAAAUGCAGAGACAGUAGCAAAAACCAUCAGGCAAAUUGAGCAGUCACUAGCUUAUUGUGUUUCUAGUCAGGGUUUCCUUUUUGGUUCAGGCUUUCUAUAGAGAACUGUGUGUUAUGGAUGCAUGGAUUUCUAUAUUUGUCCUCAAUUGAAUACUUAGAAUCCUUGAUUCCCUCAUAGAGGUCCUCAGCCUUUUCAGUCAAUUUUGCUGCAGCAUAGCAGUGAAGGAGAGCAGUAUAUGUCUCACUAGUUUUUGCAUUAGGAGGUAAACCUUCAAAGUACCGUUCUGCAGCAUCAAUACCAAAGACUUUUGCCAUCAAGACAAGGUGGACUGCAUAAUCCGAAUCUAAUAACUCAAACUCAUUAUGGGCGAGCAUCCACUCAGAUACCUGCAACAUCUGUAUUAAUUACAAAACAGAAAUUCACUUAUUUUUUAGGAAAAUUUUGAUUGCUACUGUAAAUUGAAAGAGACAUAUGAUGAUUACAGUUACUAUUCCAAUUUUGAUCAUCGUUUGAAAAGAAACAAAACAAAAGACAAAAAAAGGAGAUAAAAUUUUUGUUUCCGAAAACAUAGUUUGAAUUAUGAAAACUCCUGCACACUAUGAAACUGCAAAGCAAAACCAAUUGCUCAAUGCCUCGGGUCAAUACUGGACAUGUCCUUCAUGGAGGCUCCCCAUGUAAUGGUGCUGGCAUUUUUUUUCCGAAAAGAUAUGAAAACAACAAACCUCUAGUUCCAGAAUUUUUCGAAUCUUUUGCAAACUUUAAGAGAAUAAAUAAAAAAUCAAAAACAGAAUACAAGAAUGAAGCAUAACUAAAUAUAACAAUGAGAGUUACAAGGUAAACAUCCGUGUAGGUUUUCGGAGACAUUUAGGUUCAUAGUUUAGGAGAGAUGCCAUUAUCAAUAUCAUUACUAAUUCCUUGAAAGUAACUCAUGUACAUAAAAACAAAGUACAUCAAUUCCUAAUGAAUCCAUUUCCUAGAAACACAGAAAAUUCACAAUAUUUCACAUAAGACAUCGAUUAUUACCUGAUACCCAAGACAUUGGGGGUCGUCACCAAAGAGAAGGGUCUUGUAGUCCUAGACCUUGAGCUCAUGGUGGAACCAGGUUCUUCUGAGUACCUGAAAAGGAAAGCCUAAACCCAAACCAUCAAGCAUAUAGAUGGGAUAAAGUCCUCAUGCCAUCUUCAGUCAUAUUGAAUAGGCCUAACCCCUCAAACCCACUUUUUGUUUGAAUGAAUGUGACUAUCCAUGCAAUCAUUCAAGUCCAAGUCACCAAAUUUCACAUUUUAUCAAAGAGGAAAUGCAUCCCAGCAAUCCCCUUGAAUCGUCUCACAAACAUUUUCACAAGCACUUGGAGUGCAUGUUCCAAUGGCUUUACAAAACCAACACAACUGAACCGAGUUCAACGCUUUGCGAUGAGGUUGAAUUGAAUGAAGCAAAUGAAGGUUUUAACGUCAGGUUUAACCCUUCUGGGCAAGCAUGAGAAACGAACGCAGAAACGAAAAACGACGUUGCAUUGGCGGAGCGAGAGAGAAAGGGUACCCAGCUCUGAAAAGUCAAGGCCUAGAACCUUCUCUAAAAUAUAAAAAUAUGAGGCGUGUCCACCUAAUAUUGUGGAUUUUAGCACUCCAAAUUUCGUUGGGAGCAUUUCCUUUGUUCUUUUUUUUUUUUGGUUACGAGCAUUUCCUUACUUGGAAGAGAUUUUGUUGAACAACUAAACAACAUCCCAAUUCCAGCUUGGGUUUAUAGAGAAAUCGCCAACACCUAAACGAAUUCAAUUGUCAAUGGAGAAAGAACAGUUCUAGGGUGUCGACUGCGAUUUCCAUCUGCUUUGCUCGAUACUUUCAUGUUUCAGAAACUAAUCACUAUCAUUCUGGGUGGGGAAGAAGUAUCAGACUACUACAUUUCCAAUUUGUGGCCAUUCAUAAUAAACUUCUAGACGGUACAUAAAAGAAUCAAACUGUCGGAAGUAAAUGUUUUACUUGGUCACUCGAAAGGAACUAUAACAGCAAUGUCAUUUACACUCCUGAUGCAUAUUACUGUCUCAACAGAAAAGGCUAAAAAAAACAAACCAACAGCCAAGAAUGACCUACAAAAACACAGCUAAGCUCAAAAUUUCAUGUAAUCAGUAGUAGCUAGCUUUUCCUCUCUCUUUUCACUCAGUUUUCACGUCUGGGUCCUGUCCUCCGACGAGGAGCAGCACCGGUCUCCUUCUCGUUCUCACCAGAAGAACCUUCCUUCUCACUCUCUUCUUUCUUCUCUGCACCACUUCCAGAAGCCUCAGCGGCAACAGCGGGUUUCUUCUCAACCUUGGCCUGCACAAGACAAACCAACAUUUAGCAACAGUAACAACAUCAACAACCAGAACAGAAAAGAGGUUGGCACUUAUGAGGUUAUUCGAGACUCACGGGUUUCUUUCCACCAAAAAGGAUCAUGAAAAGUGCUGUUAAGAUGAUCACACCAAUGGAGCCGAUCACACCAAGCGUGAUAUUGGGUUGUUCCUCUGCCUUCUCAAUGAGAUCCUGCAAAAGAAGCUUGGAUAUUAGGACACACUACACAAAUUCAUCAUCAAAAUGAAUUGAAGAAACAAUGGACUAAUGACUUACAACUAUCUUAGUCUUGUAAGCAGCUAAGAAGGGAACAUCUGCAACCUUGUAUAGAAUGUCAAAUAUCUUCUUCUGCAGGAAGUUGACAAUAACAUAUUACUCACUGUACGAGGCAACCAUAAUAUCUUUUGGCAUAAAAAAUGUAUCACUUAAAAGCUAAGAAACCACGUACCUGGACAGUGGCUAAUAGACCUUCUGAACUAGGAACAUCUUCCUCAGCCUUCUCUUUCUCCUUCUCAACUUCAUAUUUUGGCUUCCACAGGGUAUCUCUGUAUGAACUGGCAACUUUCUCAUCUUUAGUAAUCAAAAUGUUGUCAAACAAUAUACCAUCUUGCAUGGUCCAGAUCUCAAUUCCGAUGGCGGCAAUGGGCUCAAAGUUGGGUUUCUCGAGCUCAAAGUAACUAGGGUUUGGAAUCUCCUGAGGCUUCCAGAUACCCUUGUAACUGGGGUUAUCGAUGAGUGGUGCGUGCCAUUUUCCCUUGUAAGCUGGAUUCCUCUUCAUUGGCCUCUUCCAUUCACCACAACCAGGGGCAGUCACACACUUGGGAUUGUCAAUCUUUGGGGCCUCCCACUCACCAUCCUCCUCGUCAUCCCAAUCCUCUGGCUUUGUGGCUUCAGGAUCCUCUACCUCCUCAGGUUCAUCAUCCAACCAUCCUUCAGGUUUCUCUGCUUCCUCAUCUUCAAUUUCCAUGGGUGCAUCCUCAUCCCAAUCAUCAGGUUUAACUGCAUUAGGAUCCGGAAUUUUGGCUCUCUCAUCCCAAUCCUCAGGCUUCUUAUCUUCUGGAUCAGGAAUUGUCUUGGUAGGGAUAAGUGGAGGCAUAAAAUCAUCAGCUGAUAAGAAGUUGGCCUUCUUCUUCUCCUCCCCGUCGACCAGAAUUAUCAACUCGUUAUCAGGUUUGAUGAUGGCAGUGUACACAUGAGAAAGUUUGUCAGCUGGAACAGAGGGUGGGGUGGUAAGAUGGUGUUCAACAUACUCUCCACUCUUGGGAUUCUUAUGCUUAAAGAUGAAGUGAACCUUGUUUGUAAGCCCACACUUGUCAGGUCCAAACAUGAUAGAAUACGGAGACUCAUUGUCGAAUAUCUUAGGUUCCCAUCCAGCCUCCUGGGGUCGAAGGUACUUCAGAUAGGCACCACCACAUUCAAGCCCAUUCUGGAGACGAGUCUCAAAUUGGAGGACAACAGUCCCAUCCUUGAGGCUCACAGGCUCAUCAACCUCCGUAACUAUUGCAUACUUCUUGGCCUUCUCACUCACAAGAAGCCCAAAAUCCUCAUGGCCCUCACUCUUUGAGUGCUUCCAAACACCUAAACAAAAAUAAUAAUAAAAAUAUAAAUACUCGAUCAUGAAACAUAGGUUCACAGUCUGCAAAAGAACAAUGCAAUAGUCCGGAAACAUUUUCCUAACGAAAGAAAGUUUAAAUCAUUGGAUCAGCAAACAUUCCACUAUAUAAACCCCCAUUCUAUCACUACAUCUAUAUAAAAUCAGACAGACAUGACAGACAUUUGAAAGUAUAUCAAGUGUGGCAUUAUCAUAGAGACUCAAGGCAUGUGAUUGGGUUCAAGCAAUGACCAACACUCCCAAUGUUUCAUCACACAAGUAUUAAACCUAAUUCGAAAUUGAGUUGUUGCAGUCAAUUACUACUAGUCACACUGUGGAUCAUUCUUAUCAACACAACUUGGAUCUCAUCUCUCUAAACAAUGCCUAAUAGCUCAUUCCUAAAUCAAUCUAAUAACUAGACUCCACGACUAAACAAAUAGUAAAAGCUGCUACAGCUAAACGCAAUGUUUGAGUUCGAUAUCCACAGAUCAUUCAGAUCAAUCAUAACAGGAUCCAACACGAUUCAAAAUCACCGAUCUUUAAAGUGAAGGAAACACUGACCUUGAUAUUCGUCUUUGCCAGACACGGUCCAUCGCCCCUCAAAUGAUUCGUCGAACGAAUCGUAAAACACCUACAAACCAAAACCAAAUCCAUAAGCAACUGAAAUUUGAAUCUGAGAACUACAGAUUCAAAUCGGAAACAACUACUAAGAAGAAGAAGAAUCAGUACCGUAUCGUCGGAAGCAGAAAGGUGCUGGAAAGCGAAGCAGGCAAAGAGCACGAAGAGCACCGAAACGACGCCGGAGCGAAUCCCAGCCAUCUCUCUCUCUCUCUCUCUCUCUCUCUAUUUCUCUCUGGUUCUCUCUCUCUGAGAUGUUCAGAUCUUUUUCUCGGGUCAGUUGUUCAUAUAGAUCUGUAACGACACUGCUUUCGAGUAGCUUCGGCCAAUCAUAUUACGCGCCACGUUCAGCGCGCCAAUGCCGUGCCGCCACGUCAAACACUUGACGCAUCGAUUCUAUUACUGUUGUUUGGACCGGCCUAAAGCCCAAUUGACUAUCGGGUCGGCUGUUUGUUAUUUUAGUUUUUUCUUUUUAUGGGGAAACUUCUAUUUAAUACAAAUUAUCUUCAUUUUCAGACUUAAAACGGCAAAAAAAAAAAAAAAGAGAGAGAGCAAGUCUUUCAUUUGAAUAGUCCCACUAUUGUUUUCUUCGUCGCCAAAUAAAAUUCUUAUGUAUCAAAAGUCUAGUCAUUCUGUUUUACAAAAAAAAAAGUCUAGUCAUUCUAUGUAAAAAAAAGAAAAAUAGUGAAGUUAUAUGAGAGGUGAGGUCAAAAUUUUGUAGUUCAAAAAAUAGAAUCACAAAUUUUUAGUUUAUUUAACAUUAUUUAAUGACUAAGAAGACAUGACAAUAGGUUAGUAUGAGAAUUUCAACCCUUGUUGUAUAGAGCAAGAUUUAGGGAGCAAAAUUAGCUAUAGGUAACAUAGUUCGUCCAGGCAUUUACUUAGGUUUUUGACCUCACCGACCUCAUGAGGUCAUCACCGGACGAGUAUUCAUGUAAGACGUCUAUGAACCUAACUAGAGGUGGGAUUUUUUUUUUUUUUUAAGGUCUGACCUAGAGGUGGUUCUUUAUAACCUCUCACUUGGUUACUCACUCUCUCGAUCCAAUUGAUCAUUUAUCUUAUUAAUUUAAUGUCCUACUUAGUUAUAAUUUAUAAACCUUUAUAGUUAAGAGGCUCGGUAUAACACAAGUAUUUCAUUUGUAAUACAUUUGUCUACAAUAAGUAAGUUUAUAACAUAACCUAUUAGCAUAUUGAAAAUUCGAAGGUUAUCCUCAUCCAUUUGAUAAUAGCUAGGAAACAUUGUAAGAGCUUCUUCGGUAGAGCCUUGUAGAAUACAAUACAAGUUCAUAAUGUUUCGAGACCAUACUAUACUAUAGUAUUGAUGAAUUAAAAUGACUUAUAAUCUAUGACAUUCUUCGUCUAUCCUCAAUUCUUUCAGGCUCUGACCAGAGAUAAAGAGGUGCCUUCCACAAUGCCAGCAGCCCACAAAUAGGAACGAUCAUCAAGAACAACAUCAUUACCCUCAUACGACAUUUGUAGUGCCUUGUUUUCAAUAUCCACAUGAUAGAACACAAGAUAACCUUUCAAGGUGCCCACAGUGACAUCUUCAUCGACCACCAACUCCAAGGAACGAUCGUCGGCUACCUUGAUUGUGACUGCUAUUUUCUUAACCACGAUGAGGACGGAACCAUUAGCAAUGCCGCAAUGUUGCACACUCAUUUCAUCACUUAACAAGGCCCCGUUUUCCAGGUACAGGUCUUGCCUAUCGGCAGCGAUUGCGAUUCUAUCUAUUCUUUGCCAAAUCAAGACCUUCAGUUGCAUAAUGGUGGUGGAAGCUGGAAUCGUCAGAGGGAGUUCUUCUUCUUCCCAACGAACCAUGAUCAAAAUGCUCUAUCAAACACGAAUCCCAGCAAUUUGUUAACAAAAGCGUUAUUAGUAACUAUAGUCUAAAAAAAAUGAAAUGAUCAGUAAUUUGAAAGACGAAUUCAGCUUGUGGAGAGCUCUUACCGGGGAAUUGUUCAUUCGAGGAUCCAUUUUUGUAUGGUAGAUCGACAAUUUUGUAGAUAAGUGCUUGUAAUACUUCUGUUCAUGGCAUUAGCAUGAGCUGCUUGAAUGUGUUCUAUGUGAUCGCUAUAGGAUUCCUCCUUCAUACAACUUUUGUUCCAAGUCACACUGGGGAAAACCAAAAAUGAGAUUUUGGCUAAUAUGGCAAUUGCGUACUAACAUAACUAUUUAUUUUGGGGAUUUUCUGUAUGAGGUUUAGGGUUUAGGUUCAGGCACCUUCAAAGCCUAGACUUCAAAUACCGGCGAAGCACACAAAACUGUAUCAAUAUUCCACUUUCAAUUUAAAUGAAGAUUGGAGCAAGCCUUACCGAAAUCCAUAUUAGAAUGUAAAGCACAGAAUCCAAGCUUUUAGUCGGCAGACAAAAUUGUCUAUGCUGGCCUCAAAAAGGAGACUUACCACAUACAUGGGCAGAGUUCACAACUUAUUAGAAAUGUAUAGAAAUAAUAGUUUCCUCUUCUAACAGAAAAACACAAUCCGCAUACUGAAAACAAAACUUAACCAAGUCUAGCUGCAACAUUUUCCUUUUCUCUUUUUCUCUUGCUCUAAAAGCUGUGUAUAACUUAACUCAUUUUCGGUGACAGGGUUGCCUGUAACCUUAGUUUUUCACCACUAGUAUUCUAUGUUCAUCGCUUGCCAACACCCUUUUUGACAGGAGGAACAAUUUCCUCUUCUUCGGAAUCAUAAUGUCCAUACUGCCAGUUCCCUCGUCGAUUAGUCUGUGCUUCUUCCUGGAACUUCUCCAAGUUGUCGAGUGCCGCCUUGCGAUCCUUGGUGUCAAAUUUCUUCUUCUUCUCUAGCCUAGCAAGUCCCUCCUGAAAAUUACACAACAUGAAGAAGAAAACAAUGAGAUUCUGUAGAACACUCCUAUAUGAUCAGGAUACUGAUUGAUUGAGAAUGAGCAACAUCAGAGCGAAAGGCAGUGUGAUAGUAAAACUAGACUAUGUAACAAAAGAAAAGUAACAGGCACCUUGAGCAUAAUGUGUGAAGUUCCCACAAUACAUCUUAAACCUUCCUAUGAUUUUUAAAUAUGAAGAUGGCGAAUAUAAGUAUCCAAUCUUCAUCAAGUGAGAGAUAAUAUUUUCUUUUAUGGAUGCUUUUACAGGUUCUUUUUAUGACGAUGUGCAUAUGAUGUGUAACAACAAAAUAGUAGGUAUUGUCAAACAAAAGAUUACAAGAGACAAGCUUUACAAGUUACUCAAAAGAGGACUAGAAAUUCAUACCUGGAGCAUGGCAGCAUUUAUACUGAUCUCUUCAUUAGCAGCAACUAGAGUUACCAAAAGAACAGGUCCAGUUCCCUGGCCUUUAACUUUGCCUCCUGUCAAGUCCCGGUCCUCAAUCAUGGCCGAAAACUCUUUGGAUAAUGUGUACUCACUCAAAAACUCUGCUGCUUCUUCACCAUGGUCCUGGGUCAAGGUGGGGACCUUAAGAUAUGCAAGGCUGCAAAGUUGGGCAAGACCAGGUGUUGCGGAAACAGAAGAAUCAAGAGGCCGUAACUGACUGUACGGGACAAACUCUUGAUUACCAUAAUCUAUGUAGAACACUUCAAAGUUGUCUUUAGCGGAUUCCACUGGUCCUCGAGGACCAUUGACAAUCUUUGCAUAUCAAUUAAAAAGCUUGUAAGACUUGGUCCAAAUAAACCACAGAUAUUAAUAUAUAUAUAUAUAUAUAUAUAUAUAUAUAUAUUUAAGAAAAGCAGGAAUCUGCUCUGAUAAUAUAUGAUAUGAGAGAUUUAAAUCUAAUUAAAAAGACUGAAAAUAAAUCUUCAUAGUAAUUCCUAGGGAUUCAAAGUUACACGUUUAAUAUAUGCUUAAAAUUGAUAAUGUUUUGAAACUAGAGAAACAGAAAGGGAAAGAACAGAUAUACAACCACAAGAUUUGAAUUUUCAUUUUAAUAACUGAAAACUAAGACUGAUGUAUUACUGAUGUAACUCACCAUUGCUCGGUUCCAGGAAUUAUCUGCACUAAAUUGAGCAAGGACAACAUCACCCUUCUUUGGAUUAAAAGCACCAAUUAAAGGAGCUUCUUGAAGGUUCAAAGAAGCAAGCUGUUGCUGAAUAGAAGAUAUCUUCUGGUCCCCAACUGUCUGAACAUAAAAUUUACCACCCUCCAGGACUUCUGUAACUACUACCUGAAAAUUCAGAACAGGACAGAUGAUGCAAUUAUAUUUUAACACGUUACACCACAUGGAAAAAAUGUGAAAAUGUGUGCUAAACUCGGAGCAACCCCAUACCUUAAGCACUUCCUUCUGUUUGGUAUCAGUUGGUUUACCAUUUGGAACUUCCUCUCCCUCAACAUAGUUCUCCCAAAUCUGCAAGAAAACGUAUGCCAGCAUCAUAAACAGGAAGACAGCAUUAUAAAGUCUAUCCCUAUUUAAAAAAUAAUAAUGAAACUAAUAUGCUGGUUCACAUACUUUCAGUUUCUUAUUUUUUGCAUUUUUCUCAGCUUGUUCAAGCAGGUGGGCAUCUGGGAUCCUGUCACUGCCUGCAAAGGAUGUAUAUUUUGCAAGACCAGCUUCAACGAGGGCAAUCGCCAUAUUUGUCCUCGAUUCCCAUAAAGAUCCCAAGAAAGUUCCAGUUCUAUCAACAGUUUCCACCUCAAUCUGCAUAGUGAUAACAAUCUCAGAAAGUAAAUAUAGAGCAAAGAGGAAAGCCAAUAUAUGAAUGCUAAAUAAGACUUACCUCAACAUCUCUCUGCAUUAUUCUUCGCCUCAUUAGUGCAAUUGCUUCAUUCGAAUAGGGCUCAUCACGACCAGGACAUCUUACACCAGAGAACGAGAAAGCAAUGCUACAUGUUUCCUUAGGAACCAAUAGUUUAAAUCGAUGACCACUGAGCACAUAUUCCACAACAGCAGGGAUUCUCCUACUUCGAUGUAAGAAUGGCAAGAAAUCUCUGGCCUUCUUGGCCGAUGCCUGACACAGAGAGAGAGAGAGAGAGAGAGAGAGAGAGAGAGAGAGAGACAUCAAUCAAGGAACGACCGAGAGAUGUUUACUAAAUUACACGGAAAACAUGGAUUACUUUUAAAAAUUAUAUUGUAUUUCUCACCGUUGUUAGGUCUGUUAUGUGCAUGGCUGGGGGUUCCUUGGAAGAAUGCAUUCCUUUCUUGCCAGCAGUAGCACGUGCCUCCGCAGAAAGAAGGGCAUCAUAAUAGCUUGAUCUCUCCUCAAAAUCUCGAUGUCUAAUAACACUACCAAAGCCACGUGCAACCACAAGCUCAGCAACAUUCACCCCAGACUGCUGGCUGGCUGAUGAAGCAGGAGUUGCUGCAUCAUCUCCCUCAGCUUUACUAGGGGUUGCAAGGAAGACUGAUCCAAAAUCCAUUAUCCUGGAAUCUGUAGGUCCAUUAGCAACUGUAGCUCCAUCUGCUGGGCUGACCUUUCUCGAGUACUCCAUUUGGACAUUGACCUGGAAAAAAUAGAAAAAUAAAAAUAUAAGAAUAUACCACCAAAGAUUAAGAUUUUUAAUAUUAUAUCACCAAGGAAGAAUAUAUCCAAAGUGCCUCUCAUACUUGGCGUCCAAUAAGGCGUGUUCUAAGGAACUCCUUUGCUUCACGGGCAUAUGCAGCUGGCUUUUCCUCUUUACGAGGAUUACCCAUUUUUGGACACCUAAUACUCGAAAGAUUUACUCUCCUCUCUGCUAGGGGACUACCAUAUGGAAUAGAAUCAUCGGCCACAAUAACACAGUCACCACUUACAACCUCCACAACCUGGAAGAAACCAAAAACCAUUACACGUGUAUAUAUGAAGAAGGGGCUGAUUGAUAUACAUAAGCAUGCAUUUGAAAGAGGAUAAUAAAUACAUAACUUUCCACACAAUAAAUUUUACGAUAUUACCUUUCCUGUAAAGUUCUGGUUAUGAAUUGGCUUCGAAUUUGUUGCCGGAGGUACAUAGUUUGUCCAAAUCUUCAACUUGCUUUUCUUAGCUUGAAGCUCUGCAGUCUUCAGCCGCUUCUUUGGUUCUUCCUCCAUCAUGUUUGCGCUCCAUUCAACAUAUUUUGCAUAACCCUAUAACACAAAAUUCAAGCAUUAACAGCAUGCCUCUAGGAGAACUUACAUAAGUUAACUGUCUGGUCUGAGAGAAUAUAAAAGGUCUACAAGAUAAAAUAAAUGCACCAACAAUUGAAAGCAAGCAUCCUACAAAUUCCAGUAAUAUGUACAAAAUUAUCAUUGCUUAUGUGAAAUAAAACUCUACAGUUUAUGUUCUUACAUGUUCCACAAGCUCCAGCGCCAAGUCUUUUGCGGAGUCCCCAUCAGGGUAGUAUACUGACCCGAUCAAAUUGCUGAAUUUGUCAACGCCUUCCAGAACAAUGCGAACCUGUAUAUCCAGUAAAAUAUUCAGAAAUUGAAAUAAACUCGAUGCGAAAAAGAUAAAAUUUAUCAUAAAUCUGCUUACGUCUCUAUUCAACACACGAAUUUCCGUAAAGUAUUUAGCUUCUAGUGCAAAUGGAUCCGCAACAGUUUCCGUGGUCGAUACUGUUGAAGCUGCAAUCCUUUGUGCAGAGGUAAGAGGGGCUCGAGGUUCAGCAGAGACAUCUUCAUUUGUUUUAUCUGAGGUCGUUUCUGCUUCAGGGACGGUUUCUGUUGGGAUAGAUCUCCUUCCCACUGAUGGGGCCUGAUUUGGAAAAAAAAAAAAAAAAUACAUAUGUUAAAGAUUCAUCCUAAUAUUAGAAAACGAAAGAGAAAAACCAGAAUUUGAAGACGUCUGAAUAUUAAUCCAUACCUGAAUUCCGGCUACAAAUACUUGGACGAACUGAAACUCAGGAAGCAAGUAGACCCGGACUGUACUGCCAUCACGAACCUGCUCAACAAUAGCUUCCAUGGGCUUGCCCUUGUUUGCAUUUAACAGACUCAUGGCAUCUAAUUUGCUAGGAUCGCCAAUAGCAGAGGGAGGUAGAUUCCUAAUAGAUUCCUCAGCAGCACCUGGAACCUGCAAUUCAGAACACAAUGAUCAUGCUUUCGCUGUCAUUCAUUGCAAAUUUUAAACUACGGAUUAAGAGCACUAAAAUGUGAAUGUGUUAAAAAAUGAAAACCUUGCUCCAGCGACCAAGGCCCUGGGUCUUUGCCUGCUCUUCGAGUUGGAGCAGUUCUGCAAUGAAAGGACUGGCUUCUAUUUUCUGUUGCCCCUGUUUCGGUUGGUUAGGUUGCUCCCGGACCUGCACAAGAUUCAGUAUAUACUCAGAUAAAAGGCAAACAUUACAUAAAAACUUAGCAGCAUCUAACUUAAAAGAAAAUUAAAAAGAUCAACACACCUUUGCCCAGCCUUGAGAAACAACAAGCAUGGCAACAUUUUUGUCACCAAGGAAAACAGAGCCAAAAUCACGCCCUAUGGAUGAUACCGUAUAGUCCACCUUGAAAGUCACCUCCUGUUGGAAACAAUACAGAGAGUUGGAUGCAUUAGGUUAUCACAGUCGAAUGGAUAUGAAUCAUAGUACAGGAGGCAACAAGUGGAUGAUAAAAAAUAGGUACCUUUCCUAUGCAGAGCUUCCUCAGGUACUCUCUGCUCUCCCAUGCAAAUGGCUCAUCAAUGCCGCCUCUACGGGCCUAGCAAUAACACACAACAAAACACACAAAUCUCAGCAACCAAAACCACAAGCGAUCAAUGCAGAAACAAUUAAGCAAUUCAAAUCCACAGUUGCACAUAAUCAUAAUAAUUCACAAAAACCGAGCCAUCACGAGAAAACAUAAACAUAAAACCGAAAUUGCAAGAGAAAGACAUGAAUUGUUACCAGCUUGGGAGCCAUAAGCGAUGAGAGCGUGAUGGUUUUUUCAGGUGGUGGUCCGGGCUUGCUAGAGGUAAGAGCCAUGAUGACAAGGCAAUCGCCGGACGUAACGGCCUUCACCCUCCCUCUCAACCACCCCGUGGACCCAGCUGUUGACGAUGCCAUCUCAACAGCUUCUUAUAUUAUUGAUAGAGAUCUACACCACACCAAACCAAAACACAAUCCAAUCAUAAAUCAAAAACAACAUCACUAUCUCCACCACAACAUGCAGAGCCACACCUAUCAAAUCAUCAACAUCACAGAUCCAAUUGCAUGCAAAUCAAUACGACAAUGACAUGCUCAAUACGACACUACUCUGAAUCACUAUCUCUAUCGAAUUACAAUCCAAUCCAUAACAGCUCGCCGGAGCGAGGAGUUUUCCGGUCAAAGACCUCGCAAUUGCGUAACAAAAAACAACGAAAUUCCGAUGAGUGAUCGGAGAAGACAGACAGAUACAUAUAGAGAGAGAAGAGAUAGAGAGAGAUCUGAAAAUGUGAGAGAGAAGGAAUACCAAGCAGGAUCGGAUCCGGUGGGCCUGGCUGUCAGUUCCUGGUUCGGAUCUAAUCCAGGCGGAUUUUGGAUCCUCAGUUCGUGCAAAUGCGUCGUCGGAGCGGCGGAUCACAGCGGCGAGAGAGCGAGAGAAUGAGAGAGAUAAACACAGAGAGACUUCGUUAUGGCUUCGGAGUUUCACAUUAUAUAGUAGACGAUGACGAGCUGAAGCCAGCCAGGGCCUUAUUUUUAUACCUCCGUUUUCGCUACUAAUUACCCAAAAUACCAUUGUGAUGUGAAAAUGCCCACACGAAAUUGCUUUCCUUUUCUGGAAUUUCAUCAUUUAUUACGCUGUGAUUUAAUGCGAAUUACCCAAACAGCCCGUCGGCAACUAAAUACUAAUCCUGCAUUCUAAUCCCUAAAUAUAUUCUGACAAGGAUUGAGACAAAUUAACCGGCCUGUUUUAUGAUGUCAUAUUUUUGCUAAAUGCUAAACCUUGAUUUCCUCCCCUCCACGGCUCAUCGAUGAAUAAAGACGUCAUCAAACUGCCCAACAAACACUAUUAAGUUGGUCUUCUGCCCAUAUAAAUGCUCAACAGGUAAAAAAAAAAAAAAAACAUAUUAUGAGAAAGUAAAAAUAAAGAUUGUAGUAGACGGAAAAGGGGAAAAAAAUGAUCACCGCGUAAUAAAAUGGAGUAAAAAGUGAAUUGUAUAUAUGAUCUUGCAUAUGCAUGAUUGGGCAUUACUGCAUACCUUAUUUAUGAAUAUAGAUACGUAAGUGGUCUAAAUUGGCAUAAAAACUGCAUUAUAGAAUCAUAUCUAUGAACAAAUUAUGAGUACCCAAGUCAAACGUGCAGUAAAAAUGCUUGAUCAAAGUUAUAUAAUUGAACACACGUGAUUUGUGUCAACAAAACAAAAUUUAUUAAUAAUUGAAGAUAAAUGUAACGAUCGAAUGAAGUUACAACAAAACGUAGGUGGUUUAUAACGCCUAAAACAACAAAUUUGUGCAUGUUAUUUACUCGAUGACUAAACUAUACAAUCUUUCACUUGUAUGAUUUAACAAUAGCCGACAAAAAGUUUCGCAUUGAUUAACAACAAAAACUGUAAUGAUCAUUCGGUCUGAAAAGACGAACCGAGAUUAAAUACAAGACACGUGUAGUAAAUUGAUAUAAGAGGUGAACUACAUGAUCUUGGACAUUAAGCAUUGAUUGAUGAAACAAUCAUCGUUAACUAGAAUAAAGAUAAGUGUAACGGUUGAAUGAUCUUAGUAACCACAUAAAUCAAAUCGACAAAACCAGUACGCGUUACUCAAAAAGUAACGAAAAAGUAUGCGUCAGAUUUGAUUUAGUAUUUGACUAAAAAGUAUCAUAUUGACUUACAACGAUAUCUCUAAGGAUUAAAACUAUCUAUCUAAAAAGACAAAUUGAGAUAACAUACAAAACACAUGAGAGAAAUUAGCGUAAGGAGCGCUCUUGUGUAUACAUGAUUUAGCAUUGAUAGAAGGAACGAUCACUAUGAAUGAAAUAAAGACAAUUGCAACGGUCAGUCAAGUAGCCUAAGUCAAACAAGUUGAUCAAAUUAGCUAAAACACAAAAACUUUCACAUUGACAUAAGAGAUUGAAUCAUGCCAUAGAGUGGACGUACUUUAAAAUUUAGAAUCAAUUAUGAAAAUACAAUAUUAAGUAAUUACAAUCUGCAUAUGCAUAAGGAUUUAAUUGUCCACACCAAACAGUAUAACAUUUUGACAUUCAACCCCUAUUGAUAUUAUGAUUGACGUAAUAACUAUCAUUUUAUAAUUUAUACCAAAGACCAAAUGAGAGAAAAAAGUAAGAAUGAUAAUUUUUUUGUUGGGUCCAAAAUUAAAUGUGUCCGUUGUUUUAACCGAAUUUCAGAAUCCAUAAAUACUGACACAAAAUAAAUUUUCUAACGACAUGAGAUUAAUGAAGAUUUUCUUAUGUGCUUUAUUCUUUUUCAAGUAAUCACGCUUUUAGACAACAGUGACAUUUCACAUAUCUAUGCAGGAUGUGGCAGGAGCUCUUUUUUACCAUUUCGGGUAAAAAAAUCUGACCACGAGUAAAAGACAAAACUCAGAGUCUGAGUGAGGAAGAAGAAACCCGUGACAGUGCAACUGGUACUCUUCCAAAAACUGAACCGACUUGCUUUGCGUAACCGAAACAAGAACAGAGAAACGGCAAAGUACGCGUUACACUCACUUUCUUGUUGCUGUUCUUCUCUUUGCAGACAACCAUGAAUCUAUGAUUUUUUUAAUUUCUGGGUGAUUUGUUUUUUUUUGUUUUCGUUUGAUUUUCGGGGUUGUUUGGAGUAAUUUUUGGGAGGAGGAACCCUAAUGAACCAAUGUUUGGAAUCAACACUCUUGCUGCUACACAUUGAAGUGAUUAAACGAAGAUUCUGUGUUUUAAACUUAACAUGGCUUUGAUAUUAACUAUUCCUAGAAAAAUAAUAACCAAAACACCAACACAUUCGAUUAAAAUAAGAAGCUACAUGUCUUAAGCAACACAAUAAUUUCGUCACAUAAAGGAUUAGGCAAACAACACACACUUUACAGCAUGGAACCUCUUCUAUAUAAUAAGAGUUGUAAAGUACAAAAUUAGCUUUAGCAUCGAACAUUUCCCAACAAGUGCAAGCGGCAGUUACAUUGCUUUUGAAGAUGCACUAGCGUGCGAGCUAGUGCUUAACAAACUCUCGGUCGCUUUUGGCUCAAGUCAUUUGGUCCGAGAUCAUCAAUGGGAGGUCUUUGCUUGUGGUGAUCAGUCGCCGACUGGUAUGCCAUUGCCAAUGCCAGGGCCUGCACAAGGAGUUUUACUUUUUAGUUCUUACUAGUUGGACUUGUUAUUGCUAAGAAUGUAAUGUAAAACAAAGUAGACUCACAAUGUGAUCAUGGUGAGGGGGAGCAUAAAUUCCGGUGGUGAUUGUGGCUCUUCGACGACAGUCGUUGCAAGGCGGAUCAGACACCUUGGGGAAUCCAGAUGGAACAACGAUUACGGGCAUCCCUACCAGGUUUCCCAUACAAACUCUCUCCCAAUCAGUGGCAUUGCCAAUGAAUGCGUCAACAGUGAAGCCCUCUCUUACUUCUCGAAUUAACUUCCCCCUUGCUCUCUGAGCCUGUAGAUUAUGAAACGAGUAAUUAAAUCUGUUAUGAACGAUGAUCUUGAAUGUUGACGAGCCUAACAGACAAAAUUAUGAGCAAGUACACUGGACGGCUAACUUGGCAAAAAAGUUGGCUAAUAAAAGUUGACUAUAAGGUUGUUUGGACCACUGUUUUCAAUAAAAGAUCUCAACUUUGGUAUCUUCAUUGAGUUCAUUCUGGCUAAACAACUAACCUGACCAGACCACUAGAAUGCCACUAUAAAGGUCAAAAGAGCUCAUCCACAGGAUACACCAGAACGAGGUUUGUCAUGACAUGUAGAUAAGCAACAAACCUGGACAUAGUCCACUGCUGGAAAAAUGCGUGCACGACGCAGCUCAGGAGGCCAUUGAUCUUGUGACUCAAAAUCAUCAUCCUUCCCUGACCGCUGCCACUCAUCAAAGUGAGCCAAUGUAUCCACAUCCAUAGUAAAGCUGGCAAUACCAACUGAAUCAACCUCAUAUUUCAGUUUAAAAGGGACCAUAUUAACACCUUUCGUUGCUAGAACAUGAACAACCUGGCAUAAGCAUAGAGAGGAGGUUCAACAAGAUUAUUCCAAAGCUCAAUAAUGCCAAAACGUCUAUUGAUCAUCUUGCCUCAGCCAUAAAUUAAAACAAUAAAAAUGUCAACAGACCCCAUACCUCCUGCUCAGCGUCGUCGACAUAUCCAACAGUAAGCUUUGUUAUGUCAACCAGGAAAGGAUCCUCAAACGCAAUGUCUCUUGAUGAAAGAUCAUCUGGAUCCUUUCCUCUAAUAGCAUCCAGAAUUAUAGCACAAUCUGCGGCAGUUCUGGAGACAGGACCAAGCUUAUCCUACAUCAAACACAUACAAAGAAGAUCAGAACAUAAGAUUAAGAUCACACAUAUCAUUGGUACUGCAGAAGAACAAGAAGAUCAAAACUGUACCAAGCUUUCUGAUAGGCUCAUAACACCGGUUCGACCCACACACCCAAAUGUUGGACGCAAUGCUGUCACCCCACAACGUGCAGCAGGUAGAGUCAUGGAACCAACCGUUUCUGAUCCAAUCGAAAAUGGUACCAUACCUGUAAAAAACUCUUCUUAAGCAGCAACUACUACUAAAAGACUUCUCCUAUAUACACAUACAUCUAUAAAGCUCAUAUAGAUACCAGAUAAGCACUUGAAUAAGCUAGCAAAAGAUUAGUUAUCGAUCGAAACAAAAAAGUUCAAGAGAAACAGAAGUAAAUGACAAUGCUGAUCAGCUUGUAUUUGGAAAACACCUGCUGAGGUGCAAGCAGCAGGUCCAGAUGAUGAACCAGUAGUGAAUUCCUUGAUAUUCCAUGGGUUCCUUGUCCUACCCCCAAACCAGAUGUCAUCAUAAGCUAAUGAUCCAGAAGCAAGCUUCGCAACAAGAACUGCUCCUGCAGACUUCAGCCUACGUGUACACAUAUGAAUGAUAAAACAUUCUUAGAUACUAGAAAAUAAAGUUUCCACUUGACCAAAAUAUGUAGCUGUUAUUAAUUUUUGAGAGAUUUAGGACCUCUUGUAAACCCAGGCCUCCAUGUCAAGAACUUGAUCCUUGUAAGUUUUUGAACCCCAUGUUGUUUUGUAGUGGGGAACUGAUAUUAUAUCCUUUAGUCCAUAAGGAAUCCCAUGGAGAGGACCUAAAAACAAAUGUGUAUAAUUAAGGCGAAGGUAAGCAAAUCAGCAUAGAUUACUAUAACAAUUUCAAGGGCAAUAAAGUGUGACGGUUUAUCCGGUUAUAAUCAGAAAAGAAAUGUACCCAAAUACACCCCUUGGGCGAGCAAUCCAUCAGCCUCUUUUGCUUGCUGGUUAGCUAACUCUUCAGUGUAGGUAACCACUGCGUCAAGAACAGGAUUGUGCCUAUGUUUCCACAAUGUAUCAAGUCUCACAUACAUGAUCACACAUAAGAAACUCGUGUUUGUUACAACUCACACUUACCUCUUCAAUCUUUGCAUGAAUAUUUGAGUAAGCUCCUGGGAUGUAAUUUGUUUUGUCCUUAUAAGCUCGCCCAAUUCCAGAACCUGAAACUCACUCAAAAAGUAUAUAUCAACCAAUGUUGCGUGAAUAGGCUCGCAAUUAAUUGUGACACAAAGAGCAUGAGAGCCUUUAACUUACACUCAUAAAGGCAAUGUCAUCAUCACCAUGUGGUCUUUGAAUCCCAGAGAGAGAAGAACAUUUGAACCUUUUGCUUGGGUUUUGUGCUUUGUCAAUGCCCCAAUCCGGAACAAAGACCAAACAAGACGGGUCAUUCAACCCUCCAUUAACAGAAGCAACAAGCUUUCGGUUGGCUCUGAUUGUAGGGAUAUUGAACUUUUUUGCACCCUUCACAAGCUCUAGCAACUAAAGUUGAUAAAAACAGAACACAAUUAUGAAAAAUCUCAACAUUUGUCAGCAGAACGAAAACUAAAAGCUUAUGAUCAAAUCACCUUCUCAUCACUAAAGAAGUUGGCAUCUAUUAACCCAAGCACCCUUUUGAGGGACGCAACAUCUGUGAUAUUUUCAGGUGACUCACCGUUUUUCUCACUGUCCUGAUCAACGAAACAGAAUAAGAAACUUGCAAUGAAUCUCAAAUGGGAUUAGUACUUGAAUGUCUUUGCCAUUUUGACUGAUACUUUUACCUGAACAUAUGCUUAGGCAAAUGAGCUUUAACUUUCUGGGAGACCAUUUUCCAUACAUUUUUAAAAGUUCUCACCUGUUUUGCAUAUGUUCAUUAGGCUACAAUCUAUGAUGUUACAUUUUCAAUGACGCUGAAAAUAAGCUACAACAUUCUACAAUCUUCACAAGUUUGGCCUAAACUUCAGCAAUCAGUUUCUACUCAAAAGUAAUUGUCCGAGAUUAAGAAAGCAUUCUUACUUGACGAGGUGACAGAAAAACUGGAACUUGCUGAUACACUAAAUAGAAAGAUAGAGAGCGAGUUAGACAAUUACCAUAUUUAGAAAAGCUUUGGCCAGAGCGAAAGGUUGGUGACGCAGUCGAACAGGGAAGAAGUGGAGUUUACUGGAAUUCAUAGGAAGAAGGGUUUGGAGUACUGGUUGUAGGUUGUAACUGCUUCAGGAUUAAGGAAAUUAACUGCCCCAAUUGACACAUGUCACACCUCUAGUUUAUAAGGAUGGGACACCUGGUAGUUCUGCAUGACUUCUAAACUGCCUUUUUCUUUUAUUUUCUGUCCUUAAUUACACUGAUUAGCUAAACCUUAAGCAAUAAUGGAUGCCCAAUUGCCCGAUUGAUUAUGAUACUAAUCAUUUUUGUUUUGACAAACUAUGAGACCUAAUCACAAAUCAUUACACAGUGGUGUUCAUACAUUUUGGUGUUACAUUGUUCCAUACAUAAUAGUUGUUUUGCUGCUGCUUUGUUGUCCUAACGUGCUUGAAGUUUAAAUAUCUAAUGACAUAACAUGUCAAGCUAGAGGUUGGAUCAUCUUGGUAACUGAAGGUGGAUUUGGGAUUACGUCAUCUGGUCCAAGAUCAUCGAUAGGAGGACGCUGCUUAUGGUGAUCGGUGACUGAUUGGAAAGCCAUAGCUAAUGCUAGAGCCUGCACAAGAAAACCGUUGUAAUAAUACAUUAACAUUUCUUGACAUAGUCCCUUGUAACAAGUAUCAAGUUAACUGGGUUGAGCUUACAAUGUGGUCUUUCUCAGGAGGGGCAUAAAUGCCUGUGGUGAUAGUAGUCCUUCUCCUACUGUUGCUAGGAUGUGGCUGUGAUAUGUUCUUAAAACCUGUGGGGACAACGAUCACAGGGAUGCCGACAAGGUUUCCAAGGCAAACUCUCUCCCAAUCAGUCGCAUUUCCGAUGAAUGCAUCAACAGUAAAACUCUCCCUCACUUCCCGGAUUAACUUUCCCCUUGCUCUUUGUGCCUGCACAUUAAGUUUAGAGCCAUGUAACUUAUGCUGCACAUCUGACAUGUUAUGUUCGUGCGUGACACUAGAAAUGUGAUUACCUGCACAUAGUCUACUGCUGGAAUUACGCGUGCACGACGCAGUUCAGUAGGCCACUGUUCUUGAGCUUCAUAAACCUCAUCCUGCCCCGAGCGCUGCCACUCGUCAAAGUGAGCCAACAUAUCCACAUCCAUGGUAAAGUUCAGAAUACCUUGAACAGAUUCAACUGUGUAAUUUAGUUUGAAAGGGAUCAUUUUUACACCUUUCGCGGCUAGAACAUGAACUACCUGUGAGAAAAGCAAGUCUGUCUUAAGCUCCACAUAUGAAAUAGGAUCCUAAAUAAGUGUUAAGGUCUUCAGAUGUUAAUGCCUAACUAACCUCCAUCUCGGCGUCUUCUAGAUAUCCGACAGUAAGUUUUGUGAUAUCAACUGAAAAUGGAUCAUCAAAGGGAAUGUCUCUUGAUGAUAGAUCAUCCGGGUCCUUCCCUCUAAUAGCAUCCAGAAUAAUUGCACAAUCUAUGGCACUUCUACAGAAAGGACCAAGCUUAUCCUGUUAUAGCAGUAAAGCUAUAAAUUCUAACAUGUACUGCAUCACAAAAUAGGGGCAUGAAAAAUGAAGACUGAAGGAGUACCAAGCUUUCUGAUAUGCUCAUUACACCUGUUCGGCCAGUGGUGCCAAAUGUUGGCCGCAAUGCAGUCACUCCACAGCGCGCAGCAGGAUACGUCACAGAGCCAGCUGUUUCUGAUCCAAUUGCAAAUGGCACCAUACCUGUGAAAGAUGUCUUGUUUAGAAUGAGGUGGAUUUUGAAGAGCAACAUAGGACAAUUGUUUCAACUUUUGAGUCAAGAUAAGACCCCAAAAAGGAAAAAACCAAGUUUGAUGGAUUAAACCAAGAUAAGACUACUAGUCUACUACAAACCUGCUGAGGUGCAGGCAGCAGGUCCAGCUGAUGAACCGGUAGAGAACUCUUCAAUAUUCCAUGGAUUCCUUGUUCUACCGCCGAACCAGAUGUCAUCGUAUGCCAGGGAUCCUGAAACAAGCUUUGCAACAAGGACUGCCCCAGCAGACUUCAAUCUGUUUAUAGCAAGAUCAACCAUCAAGAAAUAUGUAAAAAUGAAUCUAGCUAGAGGUAAAAAAACGUUUCGCCAUGCAAACUGAGCUUGUCACUAGUCAAAACAAACUAUAUGAAAAUCUCUGAGGGUUAAGCAGAUCCCAAUAAGCCAAAGAUUAAUUAGAGUAAAAAAUCAAAAAAUUGUUUAGAACCUUUUGUAAACCCAAGCUUCAAUAUUGAGAACUUGAUUUUUGAAGCUUUUGGAACCCCAAGUUGUUCUGUAGUGGGGUACUGCAAUUAUAUCCUUCAAACCAUAAGGAAUCCCAUGUAGAGGACCUAAAAACAAAGUCAAUACGUAAAUGUUAACAAUUUAUUUACUAUAGCUGAGGAGUUGAAAGACACAUCAAUAAAAAAAGAGAUGUACCCAGAUACACUCCUCUUGCAAGCAUAUUAUCAGCCUCUUUUGCUUGCUUGUAUGCUAAUUCUUCAGUAUAAGUCACAACUGCCUCAAGAGCAUGAUUAUACCUGCUAUUUCAACAAGGCAUCAGGUUCAUAUUAGCAUGAUAGGUCCUGGAUAUUAACGAAAAUAGAAAACCAAGGAACUAUUUGCACCAUUACCUUUUAAGUCUUUUCAGGAAAAUUUCUGUAAGCUCCAGAGAUGUGAUUUGCUUUGUCUUGAUCAGUUCUCCCAAUUCAAGAAUCUGAUGAACACCCAACAAAGAUUUAUGUUUUAAAGUCUCAAUGAGACUCGCGACAAUCAAAAUUCUAUAAUUAUCACCUUGUUAAUCACAUCUCUUAGACCUAAUGAGGAUAUAAAUUUAUAUGGUCUAGACAUGAGUUAGUCAUACAAAUGUAAAAGAACACAUAGAUUAGAUAAGAGUGAAGCAACUAACUUACACUCAGGUAGGCAAUAUCUUCUUCACUUGUCGGUUUGUGUAUGCCGGAAAGAGAUGGAUAAGAGAAUCUUCUUGUCACAUUUUGUGCUUGUUCUUUCCCCCACCCAGAAUUAAACACCAAAGAAGAGGGGUCACUCAACCCUCCAUUCACUGAAGCAACCAACUCUCUGUUAGCUCUAAUGAUAGGGGUGUUGAACUCCUUCUCACCCUUUACAAUUUCCAGCAUCUAAAGCACACAAUAAGUUAGUCUGAUGAAACUUAACUAUUCAAUGGUGAAUCUGAAGCAUAGUGUUGUAUUUAAAGUCACCUCUGUAUCAUUGAAGAAGGUGGAGUCAAACAACUCAAAUGCACAAUUAAGAGGCGAGAGUUGAUGAACUCUAGUCCAGCACUGAUCAAAUAUCACAAACAAAACCACAUCAACACCAAGAAACUCUUAACAAACAUAGAUUUAUGGGUUUGGAAAGAGAAACAAUUUACCAAAAUUUUAGCUUCAGAAGUAAAAACUGGGCAGCUGAACACUGCUAUGAUUGUGAAAUAGGUGAAACCAGUCAUGGUGAUCCACAUUAGUUAUGAAGAAAGAGGAAGACGAUUGUGUUUAAGCAUGGGUAGUAGUUCUGGAACGGUAAGAUCUCUCUCUUUUUUGAAAUUGAAACAGCAUCUUUCUCUUGUUCUGCUGCCCAUUUGCAGAGCUUAGAGUCAAACUAGCUUUGUCUUGGAGUCGUUGUUGACCGGUAUGCCACGUAGGACAUGGUCAAACAAUGACUAGAGCCAGAGACCUUGUCCUUAAAAAAGUAAUUCUUUUCGCGGUAAUAUUCUCCCUGAAACGUAAUUCUUUUUGCGGUAAUAUUCUCACUGCUUUACGUGAUGGGGCCACGUGACGUGGCCGCAAAUGCGUAGUUUACUGGGAUUCAAACAAAUAUAAGACAGCCUCUGCCUCCUCCGCUCGUAGCUUCUCUGCGCGCGAAGAUAGGGUUUUGCUUUUUGAUCUCCAAAAUUUCCAGGUACGUCGUCCCUGGCUUUCAUUCUCGAUUCACCGCUUUUCCGUUUCGCAAGUUUGGUUUUCGCUUUGCGUGCCAUGAAUGAAUAGGAGAUCUGAUAACAUUGGGGGCGAUUCAUACGAGGCUACGCAAUUGUACUGUUAGAAAUAUGACGGAUUUUCUAAUAUAUGCGAUUAGACUAUGCAGCUGUAGCGUAAUGUAGUUCGAAUCUUCCUUUCGUUUGUCUUUUUUCUUUGGAUAAAAAGUGUGCCUUUUGCUUUGCCCAUUAUUAGAUCCAAUGUCCCAGUUUCUGUUUUGAUUUUAAUAUGGAAUCUUUUUGGUAAAUUUUGGGGAUUCGAUGUGAUUCCUGUUUUACUGUUUGCGAUGGCAUCUUAGGCUCAAGCUAGUAGAGAUUUGCACAAUCAGCCUUUCGAAUUUCAAAAACAAACUUAGAAUGAUUUAUUAAUAGAAGUAAAAGUUUCUAAUUUGCUGGUAAUGACUUUAGUUUACAUUAUUCGAAGUGUUUACAAUGAGAAACUUAAACAAUAACUUGUUCGUAGUCUUUCCUAGUUGUCUAUGAAAGCUCUAGCUUUUGUAUCUGCGUAGUUUUGCAUCCGGAUUGACCCCGUGUACAUCAGGUAUCAUAUAGGAAUCUACUUUUAUCUAGCAAAUUUUGAUGUGAAACUUUACGAGGAACCAAGGAAGUGCGCUAUUUAUCUUUGAGUUGAAUGUGCUAGGUAGGGGAGUGUUAAUGUGUCUGGAAACCUCUGUAUAUAUGGUUAAUGUGUUGUGGUCCUUUAAACUGGUUAAGAGCUAAAGCUACUAAUUUAGUUUGUUUUGAUGAGUCCAUUGGUGUCGACUGCUGUUUGGAAAAGAUUCUGAGCACCUUUGUCAUCUCACUUCUUGAAAACAGGAUGGCUAAUGUUUAGUUCACUCUAAUUGUUUGUACAUUCCCAAUGAAACAUAAAGUCUUGGAUUUUUAAGGGAACUAUAUUAAUUCUUUAUGGUGAACUUUUCAAAAUAUUCAGAUCUUAGAUUGUGUGCUACCUGCAAGAAAAACACAGGGAACUAUCUAUUGUCUAGCUAAAUCUGAUCAUUCACUUUGUGUAUUCCAGACAAUGUUUAAGGUUCCAGACCAUCAAGUUGCUGGCCACAAGGCCGGUGCUGGAGUUCUUGGCCCUCUUGUUGAUGAUGCAGGGAACUUUUACAAGCCUCUUCAAAGUGGUGACCGUGGAGCCAAAGAAGUGGCAUUCUAUACCGAAUUUUCAACUGAAACUAGGAUUCCAGACGAAAUUCGCAAGCUCUUCCCUGCCUUUCAUGGUACCCGGGAAUUGGAGGCAUCUGAUGGUUCCGGCAUGCAUCCUCACCUUGUCUUGGAAGAUAUUGUCUCAAGCCGAACCAAUCCAUCUAUAUUAGACGUUAAAAUGGGUUCGAGCACAUGGUACCCUGAAGCUUCUGAACAGUAUAUUGCCAAGUGCCUUAAGAAAGAUAGAGAUGGCACGAGCCUGACAUUGGGAUUUAGAAUAUGUGGACUUCAGUUCUAUGGAAACAAAGAAACUGGAUAUUGGAAGCCGGAUAAGAAGCUAGUUAAUGCUUUUACUCAUGAUGACGUUCGGUCAACUUUUAGGAAGUUUGUUUCUUCUAACUCGCCUUUAGCUUCAGAUGCUGAACCAGAUUGUGCUUAUGCAUCAACUGUCUAUGGUGGACCUGAUGGGAUCUUGUCACAAUUGUUGAAACUGAAGUCAUGGUUUGAGGAUCAGACCAUUUACCAUUUCUAUUCUUGCUCAAUUAUGAUGGUGUAUGAUAAGGAGUCAAUACUGAAAGGGGAGAAUCCAAACCCUCAAAUCAAACUUGUUGAUUUUGCACAUGUCGUCGAAGGCAAGGGUAUUAUUGACCAUAAUUUUCUGGGGGGCCUCUGUUCCUUGAUAAAGUUCGUGAAUGAUGUCUUGAACAAUCCUAACAAGUAAAUAACCGAACCAGAAGUCAUCUACAGCUGUGGGAGAAGAUCUCAUAGCAGCCAAGUUGAAAUUGAAUGGACCAGGAGUAGCCUUAAAAAGUUAAGGCGGGUUUUAGUAUUUAACAUCCUGCAUGUUCAAUUUGUUUUCCCCUUAUAACUCAUUUCAUUACUACUAAAAUAAGAGACUGCCUGAUGUUUGCAAUUUGCUUAUGUUUCUGAACCUGUUGGGAGAACAACAACAAUUAAAACUAUAUGCUAGAUGACUAUUGAAAAUACUUCCUUCAAUUGCCUCCAUACAGCACUGUUACUAUGAUCGUAGACAAGGAUUACCUCAUAUUCUAGAAUUCAGAUGUCCCUUUCCUUAAACACUUUUAUCAGUGUCGAUAGCGAUAUUGCUUCUCUGAAUUGUAAUAAGAGUAAAGCAAAAGUCUUAGGCAUGGUAUUGCUGUAUUGGCUGCAAUAGUCAUAGUCUGCAGCUAUUUUCUUUCCUGUAAUGGCAAGAAUGGUGGUCUAGGGUCCAUAUGGAGACCCGAGAGCUGAAAAGCAAAAUUCUAAUACCGGGUUUCAAUCCCAUUUAGACUAAUCAAAGCUAAUAUGGCUUCUAAGCAAUGCACUUGUUAUACUAUAAUCUAUCCAUUUCAGACCCAUGCAGUAGGCCAGUAGUGAAUUCCAAGCUUAAGAAAUUACUUCCAUUUCUUCCAACCUCAUAGACAUUACCUAUAUAUACAUGUUAAAACAUAAUCUCUUGAUUACUACUCAACAAACACAACAGCCCCCAAGAUGCAUAUUCCAUCUUUUGCUUGCUGCAUUGUCUUUCUAUCUGUGAUCUUCUGUUUCUGCACUAAAAUCUCCUUAUCGGAUUCCGAUAAUCUCCAGGACACAUGUCCUACCUCCCUAGGAAAACAAACCUUCUUCAUCAAUGGCUUCCCUUGCAAGAACCCAAACAACAUCAGCGCCCCAGAUUUCAAGACUUCCAAACUGACCCAACCGGGCGACAUAGACAACUUCUUUGGCUCUGCAGUUACCCUUGUCACUGCCGCAGAGUUUCCAGGCCUAAACACACUUGGCCUCUCAGUUGCAAGAACUGACUUGAGAGUUGAUGGUCUGGUGAGGCUUCACUCCCACCCAAGAGCUUCGGAAAUGUUCUUUGUCAGCAAAGGCAUUGUGCUAGUGGGGUUCAUCGACACACUAAACCAGCCAUUCCAGACGAUUCUCAAGGAAGGAGAUGUGUUCGUGUUCCCCAGGGGUCUGCUUCACUUUUGUCUGAAUGCUGGUUAUGACAUUGCCACUGGUUUAUCAGUGUUCAAUAGCCAGAAUCCAGGGGUGGUGAGCAUUUCUGAUGCCAUGUUCGAGCCUAAGCCGGAUGUGAUAAAGAAGCUUACAGAGGGCUUUGUCACUAGUCACCUUAGAAAUGCCACUUUAAGUGGAUUUUCAAGUUUUUGACAUGCAGUAAUUCAUAAUUGUUUGAUGAAAGCUAAUUUAUGGUUGCAUAAUGUCUUACUGUGUCAACUGUCAAUACUCAAUACUUCAAUAGUGUGAUGAGUUUGUGAGCUAAGAGCAAGAGUGGUCAUAUAUUAGCCUCAUGUAGUGUAAAGGCUUGUGGCUUGUAUCAUAGCAGAUUGUAUAUUGCACAACCGUAUGUAUACUAUUGUAAACUAUUACAAAAUGUUUAGUAAACUUUAUGAAAAUAACUAAUGGUGUUUAUUGUUUAAGAUAGCGGGAAGUCAUGACACAAAAGAACAAUAGUAAAGAUGAAGAUCAAUGUUACAAUCCAAACAACUACAUAUGAUAUGUAGUUUAAGUCUUUGGAAGCUUGUCUAUGAUCCGAGAUGUUAAAACUCUUGCCGAUUCUUUUGUCAGCAUCACUUUCUCCAUAUUUUUUGGAGAUUCAUAAUAUUCAUCCAAACUUUUUUGCGGAUGCUCUUGCUUCUGUUGGCCACUCUCUUUCCUUGCCGAUGUGUUGGUUUGAUCCUUCUCAAACUCAAAUGACUAUUUUGUUUGAUUCUUCUUGUAUUAGUCGUUUAUGAGUUCUUUUUUUUGUAAUUUUUUUUUCAAAGAAAAAAUUAUGUAACAUUAUAUGUUAUCAAUCGUGAAAUGAAAUUAGUUUCAUGAUUAUCAUCUCUGCUGUUCAAUUCUGAAGAACUGCAGUCUUCUUCCGAUCAGAAGAAUAAUUUUCUUAAAAAAAAAAAGGCAUGGAGAAAUGAACUUUUGCGGGCUAGGCGGAUUCUAGUUUGACUGGGCCCAGGCAGGUUUGUUGGUCCACUUAAAAAAACCGAGUCCACAACACAGUUUUUUGGGGGCAAAAUUUCCAAUUCUGAACCAUUUAGCGCCAAACCAGUGAGCUCUUCUGAUACUCGAGAGUCAGAGAGAGACCGAGAAGAAGAGGAACAACUUUUCGCCGGUGUUAGCUUUUCCGAUAGCGAUUAAGAAGGAGAAGAAGCUCAAUGGUAGAGCUGUGCUUUGUUCUCGAUCUUCGGAGCUUGCCGCCUCCAUUUCUCAGAGACUUAAAGCUGGUAAUCCAACUCUAACUGUUCAUUUCAAAUCAAUCACACGAUUCGUUCUUCAAUUUAUUCCUAAAUCGAAACAAAAUCACGAUCCGUGCGCGUUUGCCCGCUCAAUUUUUCGUCACAGUCGCUGUUGCAGCUCGCUAAUCUCUACGCGAUCUCGCCGUCGCCGGCUUGGCGCAGAUCGGAGUCGCUCCGGGAUCGGAUAGGCCUGUGCUUCGUGUUCAAGAAUCCGAUGACCUCUUCCGAUCAGGUACUCAAAUCUUGCACAGAACGUGUUUGAUUUAUUGUCUCUGAGAGUCUGAAACUGACAUGUCGUUUUUUGCAGCUGAAGAUUGUGUACACGCCUAGUCCAAGCGGCAGCUUCAGCCUAAGGGACUUCCACCACGCCGUGAAUGCCUUGCCGGAGAAUGCAUUCCAGCCUCAGAUGGACGAUUCCGGUGCUCUCCUUGUCACUGGCCUCUGAUUUAUUUUCGCAUUUUGUUAGCUGCUUUUGUUGAUUUUUUAUAAUUCAUUGCAGAUUUGAAGCUUUCGAGUGUUAUCAAUGAUGAAGUGUUGUACCACUGGGGAGGUAGAGAUAUCAUGAGGAAAGUGAUUGUGAUCACCUCCUGCUUGCCUCGAGAUGUGGACUUUAGCAUGCAAAAGACUCUCACUGUGAGCCUUUCGUUACCGUUUUCCAUGUUUUGUGUCACCUGUUUGCUUAUGUUGCUUAGUGUUCAGGGACUUAUGUUGGCUUCUCUUGCAUGCAGGCUGCCGCGGAUAAGUGUGUUUCUGUUGAGUUUCUGUUGUUUGAGCAAAAAUCAGCCCAUCUCAGCAAUGCAAAAGAGAAUAUCAAGAGUUUCAUAACUUGCAUCUCUGAGCUUGAUAAUUGUUCAUUCCAAACAUGUCUCCCAGGUGAACGACUACCUUCCUCUCUGUGUAGGACAGUAGGAAAGUAUGGCACAUCAAAAUAUUUCAUGUAGUAUGUUAGCUUAAACAGAUAGCAGUAAUUGCUCAACUCAUUUGCAGUAGUACUUGGGCUGUUUUAUGGUUUCAAUGGUUAGAGUUUCUUACUCCAAUGCAAAAUUGAGCUUGUUACUGAACUUGAGUCAGUAAAUUUGCAGAUCCCAGAGUAUUGCAUGGCCUGGUAAACCGAUGGUUACGGGAUUUAAAGGAUGACAUUGAGGAACCGAUGCAAGCUCGUUUUAACUUCAAGCAGAAUCUUGUGGGCUCUGUGAACCAGAUAUCUUGCAACUUGUACGUAUCUGUCAACCAGAUUGUUGAUGGUUUCUAUCCCUGUGAGGUACAUUAUAUGUAAUGCUAAUUGUCCACUUCAUUGCUUUUUACUUAUGAAUCAUUAAUGUUGCCUAAACUAUAGAUACCAAUACCAUAGUCACUUUGUGGACCAUGGAACUUAUGGUGAUACUUUGUGAGCUAAGUAUGACUUUAUGAAAUCUUAUACUGUGGUAUUUGGCAUUGAAUUGUAGAAGUUUUAGAGAUAUUACAAAAUCAGCCCUUAACUCAAGGCACUUUAAUGUCCAAUAACCUUAUCACAAGCACUUUAAUGUCCCAUAUUAUAAGUGUCCAGACCAAAACCUAACUGAAAUAUCCAAUGUGAUUGAUUCAGAGAAAUGCUUCCAAUAUAUAUAUAUUAGGUUGAUAAUGUGACAAUUGUUGCUUCAAGAACAUUAUGUGGUAAUAUUGAACCAUAAUCUUGGUUCAAUUAGCUCUGUAUUUUGCUUUCACACCUCAAGUCUAUGAAGAAGAUUUUGAUUGUAGGGUUACUGCUUAUAGACAUGCAGAUGUCAUGCCAUUUCUCUGGAAGAUGCUGUUUUAGUAAAAAUGGAGGAACCUUGUUGUCCAGUCACAGGGCGUAAUAUCGAAAGAUCUGAUGUCAUAGGAAAUUCUGUGAAAGUUGGAGAAAGAACAAUCCUGUUGCUUCCCUCAUUCAAGAGCCCUGUUAAGCUCAAGCGUGCUUCUUCACCAAUUGAUUUCAGUGUCAUUGAGAGGACUAACUUGGGUGCCCUAAGUGAAGGUAAAUGAUAAUAACUAGCCUUGUGAUUAAGUAGUACAUAUAUAUUUUGGACAAUACGGAUCAAUAAGAUGAAUAUGCAUUAGAGGAUUAGAAUCAUGGCAUUACAGCACUUCCUUUUCAAAAUUAUUGACAACACAGAACUUUUGUGUUUUAUGUCAACAUUGACAGUUACCUACCCCUUUUUAUGGCAUUUCCCCACAGGUGUUCUAAUGGGAGCUUCAUAUGUUGUCAUUCCAUCAAGUUUCCAGGAAAUGGAAACUGCUUCAGAUGAGAUCGAUCAGUCAGAUGUGAAUACUGAGAGUAUGUCGGAGGCCUUCCUCUUGUUUUCUGGUUUGGGUUGCAUAUGACUAAGAGUUACUUACACAUUAAUCAAGGACAAUCAGAUUUAGAGAGUUGUGUAUGUCUAAUUAGAGGCCUUACAUGCAGCCUCUAAGUUCCAUUUAGUCCUGAUUGGCUGAUUAAUAUGUCAGCUACCCUAUAAAUUCACUGCUGUUUCAUUUUCUUAAUCAGGCUACUCAUGUUGCAGUUUUCCGAGGGAUUUGCAGUGCUCUACAUUCAAUGGACCAGGGUUUGGUGUGUUCUUCAAAUUGUAAUAUAGAAACUAUGACCGAGGCCACUUUGCAAUGCUAUUAUAUUCUCCAACCUUCAAACAAUGGGCCAAUGCUUCUCAGGGUAAACAUUAACAUUUUCAUACAGUGUAUUAAUUGCUAUUUCAUAUGUUUAACAUCAAAAGUUAUCUUUUCAUGUAUGUGUUGUUCAUUUUUGUACUCUUAUCUUGGUCUCAUUUUAAUUCCACAUGCUUGUGUUGUGUAUCAGCAUGCAUGAUGCCUUGGCUUAUGUUUUUCGCAUUUGUUUCUCAAGUGUGUUGUGUGACUUGUAUGUAUGUUAAUCAUUGUUAUAAUAUUUGCAGCACAUUGCAGGAUCAGAGGAACUUUUGCACAUUCCUAACCUCAAUCAGUUAACUGUUUCCUCAGUGAGGAAGGACUUUGAGGAUUCUGUUAAAGACUGCUUGUCAAGGGUAUGCUCAUCUUCUAUUUGUGUAUAAUGUGAAUAAAAAGUCUGGUGAUAGCUAUUUGACAAGCUUAUCCAGCUACCCUAUUGGAUCUGGACAGAUAGGGCAAAUUGCUUGUAGUUCUUCAUUGUUUAAUAUCUUAAAUUUCUCUGUACAUAGUUUGAUUGUCCGAAUAAUAUACUGUUCCAAAUUCUUAUUAGAGUUGCAUGUGUGACUUUGCUAUCAGAAAACACCAACAAACCAAGUUUUUAUUGUGAAGUGACUUUAAGUAAUAUUAGAUGAGACCUUGUCCAAUGAUGGUCUGACUGGCCUUUCCUUUUCUGACUUUCUUGCAGAUUGACAUAAGAGACUAUAAUCCAAUGCUGCAUGAGAGGGGCUUCCAUCAGAAAUUAAACUUGCUUGUGAAGGAGAGCUUACUCCUUGGGUAAUUAUUCUCUUAAUCCAGAUAAAGGAAGGCUGAGUGAGUAAGUGAAUAGGAACAGAAACAUAGAAACAAACUCAAAAGAAAGUUAAGAUAUUGAGAACCAAUAAGUUAUUUAUGUUGCAGGCUUUCGACCCUGAAAGUCUCCCUCUCUCUUCUUUUUUUCCUUUUCUUUUUCAAAAAAAGAAAAAGAAAAAAGAAAGAAUGCUCACUUGGGUUUUUAUUUUUUUAGACCUGAUUAAUCUAUUUGGAGUAGAGCUUCCAAAACUAUUAGUUGGCUGAAAGAGAUUUUCCUUUUCCAUGCAAUCCGUGUUGAAUAUAGGAUCAUUCGCAAUAUGUAGCACAUAAGCUGGAACCAAAUUUUCCGUAAGGCAACGCUUAUAUUCCUGACAGAAAUUCUUCUUAAAUAGUUCUAGUAGAAAGCAACCAUCAAGUUUCAUCAUUUCUAUCAAGUCAUUUAGACUAAGAUGAUCAAAUAGUUCUGCAAAAAAUGCACAUUUAAGUUUUCUAUAUUUCUUUUAAUCUGCUAUGAUUUAGUUAGUCUAUUGCAGCAUUCAAAUUGACUGUGUUCCUUUGCCAUGAAUGUCCAUGUCUUAUUUGUCUUCGUUGUCAAUUGAAACAUUUCUGUGUUGCCUAAUUAAGUCAUGUAUCUACAUACCUGUAUUUGAACUCAUGGUGAAAGCUUCCUCUAAUGGUUGCUAUCUUAAUGUGAAUAUUUCAGGUCACUAUCCCCAAUCAUGGAAGAGGAAAUAUAUGAAUCGAAGGCAACCCAAACAAAAUUUUCAGAAGUGAUAGGGCAGUCUGAUCCAACAAUAGAUAUUGAAGCCAUCCAAGAGGAACCCUCAAUGUUGGUGGAUCUGACAGAGGAAGAAGACAAAACAUCAACUUGCAUUACAGAAGAGUGGGAGCAGCUGGUUGUGAAUGAUGUCUCCAAGUUACGUUCUCCACUUUGCACUUCCAAACCUAAGCCAGAUCAGUCAGUUCAAUCACCACCAGAUGGUACCCGCCAACUUGAUGCAAAGACAUCAAGGAUUUUAGAGAGACUUGAGGUGCCAAGACAGUUCAGAAGAGAAUCACUUUUGCCAAAUCUAACUAGCAAAGGUGUGAUGAAUUCACAUGGUCAGGUAAAAAAGCCUUUGCUCCCUUACAAGCCUACUUGUGCCCCGGACCAAAGUAUUGUGACUAGUUCCCAACUAAUAAAACCAAACUUCCAGAGGCUAAAAAGGAAAUUCAAAUAAAAAAGAAUUCUUCUCUGAGUGAAGUAAUAUAGUAAAGCUAGUUUCUUCUUAGUUCUCACCAGGAUUAGCUUCAGGGACUCAACUCCAUGUGAGAGUAUAUAAUGUCUAAUGUUUAGCUAUAAGAGAUAUCAGAAUGGUUCCUACUGUUUGGAAGUAAAGAGUGGUUCGAUCAUCAUGUCCUCAUGUCAUGAUCAUUUCCAGAAAUAAUACAUAUCAGCAGUUUUAUUAGGUUCUUUAUUACAUAUAUGUAUAUAUUUUCGUUUAAAUGUUGUCAUACACAAUUCUAUAUGUCAAUAUUACAUAAAACUGAAAAAUAUGCACAUAUUGUGUCUUCACUCAUUCUGCAACAUGCUUUGCACAAGUCUGCCUGUCUUUCUCAGCUUGUAACUACUAUUAUAACAAACACUGUAUAUAGGCUACAUCAGAAUAGGGCAUAAUACACGAGGACCACGAGGCUUUAGUUACUGUCUUAACCACCAUUUCAGCAUUUCCUUUUGCCUGCUUUGCAUAUGUGUUAGUCUAGCUUCCGUUCAUAAAAAGAUAAGAUAAAAAGAUUGACCGAUGCAUAUGCAUAUAUAAUUUACAUAAAGCAGCAGUAGGAAUCUCUUUCUUUCUGUGUGGAAAUAUAUGACAUGAGAAAGUGAAGGUGGGACUCUCAGAGACCUUGUUGUUGGUCUCUUUAGUUCUGGUCCUGCCCUUUGUGUUCAUAUCAGAAAUUUUCUUUAUGGAAUUCAAAUCUGGUGGAGGUUUUGUGGUUGAAAUCCAGAGAUAGCUGUCGUAGUUCUUCAGUUAGAGCAGGUGGCCCGCAGUAGAACACCCCUGCACGACACAAACUCACACACCAUUAGAUUAUCUCUACCUCUAAAUGAAUGAUUAGACCUGGAACAUAUAUUUGUUUAGUGUUAAUCAUCUUUUAUGUGCAGCGUGAGCCAAAGUACCACCCACUACUGGUUAUAAUAUCGAAGCAGUGGCUUUCAUAAUCUUUUCUAAAGAUAAAUGUAUCAUUUUUAAGCAGAACAUGCCAGAGAAUUAGGAAUAUGCUAUCGACUAAUAACUAAAAUCAAAGUAUUUAUAAUAUGUAAUCAUAUGCUUCGAGAUAGACAUAUAGUUUUAAUAGUUGUAUAUAAUAUUAGAAAAGGAAAUCCGACAUUGAUGGUUCACCGUAAAACUAUAUGCUGCAUUAUUCUGUUUUUACUAGACAUGGUCAACUAGUGUGAUGUAGAUUCUAUAUGAACAGUAUUAUUUUGGUUUCGUUAAGUUUCUGAUAGAGAUCUGAUACAGAGAAUGAAAAAUGAACAGUUUUGGUGAUCACUGUAUAGAGUGGAGGAAAAGAGUAGGAAAGGUUUGGUGGUAAAGGGAGGGGGACUCACCAACUUUGUCAUUGGUGUGAUCCAGCGCAAUGCGCUUGUAGACCUCACGCCAGUUAGGCUUAGCAAAAUGUGACUUCACCCGAGUACCCGACACAAUAUCGACCCCAUUCUUGGCAUGAUUUAGUGACUGAAGCAUAGCAAUGAGGGCAGAACGUGCAUCACCUUCCUCAUAAACACUAGUGCAAUAGUUGUGGAACUCUAUCACUCUGUUAUGGUCAAGCUCCGCCACCUCGUUCAUGGCUCCUUUGAACCAGUCGAACGAACCUUGCUCUCGCGUCACCCAGUAGAAGUAGGCUCUCUUGGUCUUGAAGUUGCUGUGGAGGCUCACUGGGCUGCCAGAACCGGCCGUGCCGCUUUCUAGGGCGUUCUGUGAUUCAUCUUCUAUGGCUUUGAUGUUGUUCACUAUGUCCUUGAGGAUGCUUAUCAUUGGGGUUGCUCCUAUUCCCAACCCUACAAGUAACACCACUUCAUAGUUCUUGUAGUCUUGAGCUGGUGCUCCAUAGGGUCCAUCUAUUAGCACUCUUGGAAAGCUGUUCACCAUAAUAAGUCGAUUAUUAGUCAUUAGAUCAAUUAUUGAUUUCACCCCAUCAACAUUGGAGAAAAAGAAAAUCCAUUAUGGACACAAAGCAACUUUCUCAAAAAUUGAAGAAAGAAACAAUUCUAAAGUCAUCUUAUCUUCUGCUUUAGUGAAAAAUGAUAAUCAUUUAUCUGUUGCCCAUCAAAUCCCCUUUGGAUGUUUGUUUAGAGGUCCCUGUCUAAUAUCUAACAAAGCACAAUUAUACGAUCAACAACAAACAAUUGCAUCUACAUUAGCUUCUUUUAGUUAUCAGAACUAUAAGAUUAUGAUUUUCCGACGAAUCACACGUACAUCAUCACAUUAUUGUAGUAACAACUAACAAUUACUUGAAAGAUCACUUUGCUAUGUUUCUAUUUAUGUCUUCAGUCAGAAUAUUCAUAAGUGGGCAUUUUUCCUUUUUCUAUACUUCUCAUAGGUUCAAAUAAAAUUAGUAUGAACUAAGUUCAAGUUUUUAGGUGUCGGAUGAAAAGUAAAGGGUAAAGUUCUUUCACUAAGUUAAACUUACUUUAAGUCGUUGCUUUGCAUACAGUCGGCUCUGAGGAGACCACUGUUCCCAGAAGGAGGUGGUUGGCAUACCUAAAAAAAAAGAAGAAGAAGAAUUAAUAGAAGAAGAUUAGCUAGCUCUAAGUAUCAAGUACUCAAGUUGGUUUUAACUAAACUUGUUUUCUUAAUCAACUAAUUAAGUAAAACAUACUCAUAUAAACGACAAUUGUUCUUCUGUGAUGGAUAAGCUUUCUGUACCAAAACUUCUGCUGUUCCAACCAUAUUGGCUCUACACAACUUGGCUACUAUUGAUAAUGCUAGAUUAUGCUUUUAAGACAACUUUUGUUUAGAGGAGUGGUUGGAGAUUCAUACCUAAUUAUAUUUCCUAGUGCAAGCAAAAUCUUCCUAAACUAAACUAUACUAUAACUUUUGUUUUUGUUAGGCCAAGAGGUAAUGUAGUCACUCCAAGUCGUACCUGAGAAAACACCGUCUUAAGUUGUCGCGUCCAGUCGCCAAGAGUCCGGAUAUGAACACUGAGGUGGUCGUCUCCCGGCGCCGACGUGAUCGAAAAUGGGUGCCUAUUUUGAUAUUAACCAAAUUUAUAAUUAGCAAAAUGAGAAUAUCCAAGCACCAAAAACUGAAACCGGGAUUCUUGACCUAGUUUUAAGAUACUAUACAUGAGAAUAAAUGGUGAUUGCUUAACAUGUUAUAUGUGUUUCAUAGACGUGCUUACCAUUCAAAUGGGGAGACAGCAGCACAAUUAACAAACAUGUAUUGCCCACUAUGGUAUCUGAAGCCCUGAGGCUUUGACAUAAAAAGAGCCAACACAUUUCCAGGAUAUAGAGCCACCUUCAACAUUAUUAAAGAGAUGAAUUGUGAUUAGAUACAUCUCAUUUGAAUUUAAGAGUUAGUACAAAUAUAGGGUAGUAUUGUUUUGUUUACCUUUACUAUCUUAACCGGCUUGAUGCUGGACCGGAGUGCCCGAACCAAUCUUUCACCACCGUAGAGGAGAAGUGGAACAGCCAAGUACAUCCAAGUCUGUCAAUUCGGCACUAACAUGUUUGAGAUACAAAUAAAAAUGGCAAUACUAUUUACCAUUAGUUUAGAAGGAUGAAAGUUCUAACCGUUUUCUUGUACCAUUCCUUGGUGAGGUAAAGGUAUUCUCCAUGGACAAUGAGCAAGGUAUAGACAAUGACGAAGAGAUGAUGGGAGUACCAAAAGGCAUUGAAGCCAGUGAGCCUUUUGAGAGGUUGGGGUAGGUUUUUGAGCUUACCUCUUCUAAAACAUGGUGCUGCUAGUGUGAAGGCUAUGGUCAUCAACACUACCAUUAUAAUGCCAGUUACACCUUCUACUGAUUUCACAAAAAACCAAUAGUUUGAAGGUUGUUCCCCAAAAUAUUGCCUCAUCGGGGCGUAUGUGACGCUGUCUGCUUUGAUGAGACGAGGGAAAUCGCACGCCAAAUGGUAAAUCGAGUGUAUGCCAACUCCUACUGAAAUUCCAAUAGCUAUCACCUAAGUUCACCAAAAAAAGUUGAAUAAGAUUUAGUUUUGUAAUCGCCAUAUAUGUAAAGAACAAAAAUGAGCAACGUUAUUCUGUCGCAUCAGUUAUGGAAAUGUUGGUGAUGAAAUGCUUACCUUAUGGAAAUUGAGGUUAUCAUCAAAAGGAACGGCAACACCCAAUUUGGUCUUGUUCCUUAGCAAAGUGAUAGUGUUUCUACACACUGGAAGUAGAAUAAGAGCCAUGUUGAACUUGAGUGUCUCAGCUGCACCUUUGGCCAUGGAUACACAAUGACCCAUUACGUGAUAUGCAGCCCUAUUUUUAUACUGCACAUACUUAUAGGCAAACAGAGCAGCCAUGAUCCCAAUCCACAAUGCCAUUACCCAAACUCUCUUCCAAUUGUCUUCAAGAAAGUAGUUGGCUCUCCUAUACCACCUUGUCAGAGGGUUGUCCUCCCUCACUGGCUUCAGCUUCUGGCUCAGCAUUUUGCUCAAGUUCCGGCUCUCUUUUCCACGCGCCACCGUCUCCUCCGGUCCAUACAGUAGGAGUGUCUCCAAGCUGUCUAUCUGCUCAAAACUAUGUCGUUUUAGACUCCUGUUUGAAAUUAGUUUUCAUAUUAGUACAAUUUCAUUACCAUGAUGUAUCCAAGAUUGUCUGGAUCCAACUCUUCCAUGAUCAAUGCUGCAUAUUCCUGUGCUUGUGUCUGGAUGUUUGAUAGUUUAUUGGCAGAAGCACUGAAGCUAAUGAUCUGCAUUAUUAAUAUAACAAUGAAUCAAACAAUUCCAUUAUUUGGAAACUAAUAAUUCUGAAGAAAACUCACAUGGUAUAGCUAGCUAGAAAUAGCAUACAUGCCAUAUUAGAUCAUAUCAUAUGCCAUAUGCCAUACCUCCUUGACUUCUUCCACACUGAUUCUUCCAUCCCCAUCCUUAUCAACCCUGAACAAACAAAACCAAGUUGCAGAUGAUCAAUUACUUACCUUGGAAAUAACCAAGCUCAUCGGAGUUUUUUAUAUCGGAUAACUAAAUCAAAUGCUACAACUAGUCUAUCGUUAUCGAUUAAGAUUAAGAAGAUAUUAGCUUAAUUAGUCAUUACUUACAUAAGAUUAAGAAGAUAUUAGCUUAGUUAUUACUUACAUGUCAAAGAAAAUUUGCAGCCUGGAAUUGAAGCCCUGCUCAGAAACUUGUGUCCACAUCUCUUUCAACUCCUCCUUGUUGAUCGAAUCGCCUUUGAUCCCAUGCUUCCUGGCCAAAGCGUCGAACAGUUUUCCGGCGAACUCCUUGCAGUCUUUGUUCAUCCCUAUGCACUCCCCGAACGCAGCACGUGGCAGCAUCCCGUUAGUCGAGCCUGUAAGCUUGUCGAACCUUUUCUCGACCGCCGGCCACUCAGCAUUCCCGUCCGUUUUACUUAUGAACUUGAGUCCCUUAAGAGCCGGAGCAGCCGCUGACUGCAUCCGGUCGAAACGGCGCCGUUGCGGCAGCUGCUGCUUCGAGAACGACGUCAGCUUCUUCAGCUCCUGCUUGAUCCGUACGGAGGCUGUACGUACGAACGACUGGUCGUUGUUGCUCUUCUGGGGCGGCUUGUCGCCGCCGAGAAGAGUGAGGGAGUCGUCUGUGUUGUUGGCGUCGCCACGUGGCAGGGGCUUGACGCUGCUUACGUCGACGGAGACGUCCUCGACGUAAGGCUCUUCUUCGUGGUUGUUGGUUCUCUUGCUGCCGGUUCUUUUGUUCAGAGUCCCGCUGAGACUGAGCGGAGCGGUGUAGCCGGCGCCGGACAUUUUCUCGGGUGCGGGGAGCUCGUUGUCGGAGUGAUACUGAAGUGGUGGUGCUACUCCGGCGGAAGUAGCAGCUUCUCCGAUAUGAUCUUCUGGGGCUGUUUCCUUCAUGGCUAGAUUAUAUUGAGGAUUCUCCGACAGAGAAGUUAAUGCUGGAAAGCCGAGUCUGACCUAGAUAGAACUUGUGCCGGUGUUUAAUGUGUUCUAAAUAACGAAAUCUCUGUGAGUCUUAGUGGUCGGAGUGUAAGAGUACUGUAAUGUCUCUUGCAUUAUCACCUUAAUUCUUUAUAGGUGAUCAUCUUAGAGAAAACCAAACGUAGCUUCCUGCUCAACAAAUCAUUCUUUUCUUUUUUGGGUUACACAUCACUACAUCAGACUAUUUUUUUCACCCAUCAUUUUCGACAUUUUUCACACCAUUCUUUCAAAAGGCACACAUAAGGUAAAAUACAAAAAGCUUGGUAAGUUCAAUUUAGAGUUGAACUUACUAAAGUGUUGAACUCGACGACUCACUGAUUAAAUGAAGUGUCAUAAAAUGUGUUUUAGAUAAUAGAUGAUUCGAACUUCGAAAGUAAUGUAAAGUGGUGAUCGAUGAAUAUAUGUAUAUUAAAAGCUCUUUCUUUGAUUAUUAGAAAACCGAAUCCCACAAAUAACUAAAACAAUCUAGAAUUGUCACCAUUGUAUUGGGCAAGUCUUUUGGCUGAUGCGUCCUAUCUUCCUUCUCCUUUCCGUUUUUCUUCAUUUUUACUUCAUACUUUUCCUUUAUCACAAAGGAAAGCUAAUGUAAAUAUCUAAUACUACCAAACAUACAAUUUAACCAGCACACAUGUAUAUGCAAUCAUGGACACCACUCCUCUUUACAGCAAAUUUGCUGUCCCAAAUAACAAAAUUAAAAAAAAACAAAGUUGCAGAGUCCAUGGACAGAGAAAAUAGAAAAACACAACUAGCUAGGGGAGUUGGUUCUGGUUUAUAAUUUGGUAUUUCGAAGAGGAUGUUUCUGAUUAUAAUUUAUAAAUGAUUGAUUGAUAUUUGAUAGUGUCAAAUGUGAAAGAUGCAAUGUAUAGCCAUAGCCAUUACUCUUUCCCCAUAACUAGACCAAUCCCCAACUACUCUAUGGCAUUGGCUGCUGCCAUAAAACCACUAAAUAAUGGAGUAAUCUUGUGUAGAACAUGGCAGAGAAAACAUAGUAAGGAUUAGCAUUAGAUAUACUACUCAAAUUUGUACAGAGUCAACACUAAUAUAUAGUAGGUGCAUAAAAUAAGAACAACUCUAUGUGACAAUCUUCAAACCACAUGGUUUUGAGGUUUUCUAAUGUAUAUAAAGUUUAUCUGCGUGAUCAUAGGGAUCGAUGUUUGGUGAUUUUUUCACCUGUUCUGACCUUGACACGAAUUUAACACGAGUUAAAAACCAGUACGUUAACAACCGGCAACUACUAAUUUUGAACAAACACAGACUAUUUUCAGUUUUAAAAAGUUACUGAAUGUAACCCUGAGAAUCAGCAUUAUGUGCAAAGUUAUAACCAGGCAGUGGAUUCAGUCCAUCUCAAAACUCAGUGCUAGUUGUAGUGAAACACCUCAUUUCAAUACGUCCGGCAUCACUCGAUCAUUUCCGACUUUGUAUGAACUAUGUUCAAUUGUUCAUACAAUUCCAGCACAUAUCAAGCGAAGAAGGAAGAUACGUAUUCAGCAUUGACAUAAGUAUUUUCAGUUCGACAAAUAGGCGUAGACUUAUAUGCAACAGCGUAGACUAUGUAAACAGUAUGGUCUUUGUCAACGGCGUCUAUUGCAUCGCUGGAAUAUGCCGAGUAUAAGCAGUGGAUUGCACAUCAUAGAGGACGCUGGCCGGCACAGUUGGUUUUUGUACUAACCGGAAAAAGGCAAUGAUUUCUUCUCUUGAAUUGUUCUUUUCUCUCUUGUGAUCAUUCAAUCACGUUAAGCAAUUAUGCAUGACCAAUUAUGUAAAUGGAAAACAAACUCCAUCCUAAGAGACAAAUAUCAUCUCUAGCAAAUUUGGGACCAAUAUAAUCGAGCCUUUCAUAUCAGACACGACACAAUUUUAUUAUCUGACCCACACUUCUCCCCGUUAACUUGACCUGAUCUGUGGAUAUGUGUUUUAAUCGGAUAUCAAAAGCAAAUGAGGUACUGUCACACGGUGAAAAUGCUGUAAAUAUAUACUCAUCAUGUAAAUUAUGAUGACUGAUCCAGUUUAUAAGUUACAACUCUCUGAAAGGGGUAUCAUAUUUACUCAAUGUUUCAAAGAAUCAUUGAAACUUAUUACUUUAUCUACAGUUAAUGAAUCAGAUGCACUUUAACAAAACUAUAGUGCAUAACUAUAAGAAAUUAUCAAGAUUAGGGAUUAAUUACAAGAUGGAUGCUGUAUACUGGUUUUAGAGAAAGGGGAACUACUCUGACCUGAUCCAUUACUUACAGAAGGGUUCCCAGAAGCAUCUAAAUCAAUGACGGCAGUGUCACCAGGCUGGUAAACUCCAGAAAGGAGGGAUUCACUCAAUGGAUCUUCAAUUAUUAAUGUAAUUGCUCGUCUAAGAGGGCGAGCACCAUAAAACCGAUCAUAGCCUUCUUGGCAUAUGAGGUCCUUGACUGAUUCAGACACGUCUAAUCCAAUUCCCAAAGACAUUAGCCUCUGCUUCACUUCUUGUAGCAUUAUAUUUACAAUCUCCAGCAUCUACAGUAAACGAAAGAUAUAAAUUAAUCAAAAUUCUAGCAUUACCAAGUCAAGAAAGCAAAUGUCAUUAACGAAAAACCUAGCGCUAGAGACAUGAUUAUGUGAACUAUGGGAAGAUGGCAAACCUGAGACUUUUCAAGGGGAUGGAAUACAACUACUUCGUCUAUCCUGUUGAGCAACUCCGGACGAAAAUAUGACUUGAGUUCUUCCAUUACUGUUGCUUUUAUCCCAGCAUAUGAACUAGACUCAUCAUCUGUAAGCACAAAACCAAUGGAGCUUUGUCGACCCUUUGCAAUGAUAGUGGAACCCACAUUGGAUGUCAUCACCACCAAAGCAUUCUUAAAUGAUACUCUCCGUCCCUGUAAAACCCAAAUAUCAGAUAAAAUGAGACAAUAAUCUAAGAUUAUCUGAUACAGAAGAUGAAACAAUGCAAUCAGUUUCCUUGUCUUGGGCCAAGAGUAACUAAAUGCCAAAAGACCACAAACCUGAGAAUCAGUAAGGUGGCCAUCUUCAAAGAUUUGGAGAAGGAUGUUGAAUAUAUCUGGAUGAGCCUUCUCGAUUUCAUCAAGCACAACUACUGUAAAAGGUCGUCUUCGGAUAGCUUCUGUUAGAGUGCCUCCCUCUCCAAAGCCAACAUAGCCUGGGGGUGACCCUAUUAAUUUGCUGACAGAAUGCCGCUCCAUAUAUUCACUCAUGUCCAGUCGUACCAUAGCUUCCUCCUGUAAUAAAAAUGUCAAGGGUCACGACAUCUGAAUAAGAAUUUUGAUGCAUCAAACCACAUGGAAACCGCAAAUGUAACAAGUUAAAAUCCACCAAAAAAAAGUAAAAUGGGUGAUAGCCUAAUAGGGCCUCAAGCGGCAGCAUAAACUUUAGCCUUCUAAUCACCUCUCGUAUAUUCAAUGUUAUUCAAAUGUUCAUAUCUUUGUCAACAGUGUCUGCUUACUCGGCCACUAUAUCUUUUUUAAGAAAGAUUGAUCCUUCCAUUACAUUAAAUAAGUAUGCCUAAGCCUCAUUGUGUUCCUGACUGAUUCAAGGAUCCUUUCCGUUUUUAAUAUAGACUAUUAUUCAAUGUAGAAAUAGUAUUGGAUAGCUGAGACUUACAGAUCCAAAAUAAGAUGCAGCCAAAGCUUUUGUCAGUUCAGUUUUACCAACUCCAGUAGGACCACAAAAUAGCAUUGUUGCCAUUGGUCUACCUGGAUCCUUCAAUCCAACCCGAGACCUCCUAACAGCUCGGGAAAUGGCUGCAACAGCCUCAUCUUGACCAACAACUCGUCUUCUGAGCUUCUCAUCAAGACCCACCAAAAGCAGUCGGUCAUCAGCAGUGAGCUGCUGAAGAGGGACUCCUGACCAUAGUGAGGCAACUGCUGCUAUAUCAUUUGGUCCCACCACAGUAGGUCUGAAAAGUUUAUUACCAAGAAAUCCAGUUAUAUAUCAUUCAGGCCCUUGGGAAAUUCAGGUGAAAAGCAUUAUCCUUUUAGACACAUUUUCAGGGCAAGAAGUCAUACUCAUCAUCUACUUUGGAAGAUGAAACGGAGUCUAGAAUAUGUUCACUGGUAUUGUCCACAGAAGCAGCUCCAUAUUUCAGUUCACUUGAUAGGACCUGCUUAUAUUAAUUAUAAACACCAACAUUAGUAGAAGAGAAAUGAGCUAGGUAAGGUAGGAUAGGAGUCGAGAGUAAUGCUAUUACCACUUCAUGCAUCGCCUGAACUGUACGAAUUUCUUGCCAAUAAUCAUCCGCUGACUUUGAAAGUAUGCCAACCUGCUCUUCUUUUUUCUUCUUAAAGGCUUCCAUACGAGCUCUACUUCCGGCCUCAUCAAGGAGAUCGAUAGCUUUAUCAGGAAGAUAUCUAUCAGGAAUAUAUCUUGCUGACAGGUACACAGCAGCACUAAUGGCUUCUGGUGCAUAUAUACAGUUGUGAUGGGCCUCAUAUCUCUCACGCAGACCAAAUAGAAUCCUAACUGCAUCCUCCUAGGAAAUUUCAAACCAUAUCUAAUUAUGAACUGUACAGAAAAUGACCAGUAGACACACAGUAAGAUGAAAACACUUUUUGUAAGAGACCUGGCUUGGUUCAUUAAUCCAGACAGGUUGGAAUCUUCGUCCAAAUGCUUUAUCCUUUUCAAGAUGCAUCCUGUAUUCAUCGGUAGUAGUGGAUGCAAUACACUGAAAAAAAAAAUGUCCAUGCAAACUGAGUUAUGCUUUAAAGACUUAAUAAACGAGAAGAUUAAAAACACAGUAAGAACAGUUGCACAAAUAUUAAGAAACCUCUAAUUUAAGAAAAAUUAAAAAGAUAACCUGUAAUUUACCCCUCCCGAGUGCCGGUUUCAUAAUAUUAGCAAUGUCAAGACCAGACCCCUUAUUUCCUCGUCCAACUGUGCCGGACUCAAUAAGGGUAUGAACUUCAUCAAUAAAUAGAAUAACAUUUCCUGCAAUGCAAGCGCAUCUACAAUCAGCCUAAUGAAUUUCUGUUCCCAUAGAAAUUCAAGAAGGUGUACUCACCUGAUUUUUGUAUAUCACUUAUUAAGGAGGUAACACGCGACUCCAACUCUCCCCUCUCCUUUGCACCAGCCAUUAAUAGUGCUACGUCCAAGGACAUUACGCGUUUUGUCUGUGGAAACAUAAAUGCUAAACAAUUUGUAAAUAUACAGCUUUUUCAAAGUGAAUAUAAGUAACUGCAUUUGGAUGAGAUUGUGAGAACACACCAACAGAUAAACAGGGACAUCUGCCUGUGCAAUACUAGUUGCGAGACCUUCAACAAUGGCCGUCUUUCCAACCCCACUUUGACCGAGAAGAAUUGGAUUAUUUUUAGUUCUGCGACAAAGUAUCUGAAUAAUUCUCUGAACUUCAGUAUCCCGUCCAAUAACGGGAUCAAUGCGUCCCUCGCUAGCACGAGCAGUGAGAUCCACACAGAACCGUUCCAAAGCGCUUUUUUCUGACAAGCACAAUGUGUUAAACACCAUUACCUUUGCCUAUAAUACUAAACAAUAGAGAUAAGCGAACUUACUUCUUACCUUUGGUUUUCCCAGACGAUGCAGAAGACUUUUUAGAAAAGGUCUUUCGAGAUCCCCCAGAUGGCUCUCUGCCAUCUUUGGCGAGCUCUAUUUGAAGUCUGGAGGCUGCCUCAGCUAACAACUGGUUUACAUUUACCCCCAGUCUGAAAUCACAUUAAAAUAGCUGGCUUCAGAAUACCAUAUUUGGCAAAUUUUAUAUCCAACUUCAGAUUCUGAAUUCAUCUACAUGCAGCUCAAACAGAUAGUAAUGUGCUCUCUCAGGUCACAAAAACUUCAUCACAAGCUACAGCAAAAAACAAGACUUCUUUGGCUACAACAUUCAUAUAUUACAUGUUCUCUAUCAUGAACAAAUAUACUCCUUAAAAGUUUCUCUUUUUGUGACAAAACAAACGCAAAUAUGUAAAUUGUGAUGAAGAUGAAACAAUAUGUAGUUCCUUACCCCCGAAACAACAAUCAAUCCUCAUAAUGCACAUAACUAGAUGAGAAGCCACUCCCAUAGGAUUACAAAUAGUAGUACAUUAUAUGCAUAUCAUUAUGAAAUAGUUCAUAGUGUUCUGAAGUCGAACCCGAUUGACAGAUGCAACUCAUGGAUAGAAAGUAGAAACUAUAACCUGAAACCAAACUAAAUGCAACAAAAUAAACAAAGCGAAAAAAAAUUGGGAAAAAUGGGACACCUUUUAAGAACCUGACCAGCACUUCCAUCAUCAACAGUCAACAAACCGAUCACAAUGUGCUCCGGUGCAAGAAAAUUAUGAGCUCUACUCCUCGAAUACUCCAGCGCAGCCUCCAGAACUCUCUUCGUGCUAAUCGCAAACGACAGAUCCGUAGCCGAACCCGAACCAGAGCCAGCAGAAGUACCUUGACUUUGACUUUGACUGCUUUUACUAUUAUGCCGCCAAAUGCUCCGGACGGCGCGGCGGGCCUGGUCCAGGGUCAUACCCGACCCGAGAAACCCGAGCGAAUUCGGAUGAAGAUGGCGAUGCUGCUCCUCCUCGGCGAUCAAACCGAGCAGGAGGUGCUGAGUGAACACCAUGUCCCUUCCCAAAGCCUUGGCUUCUCUCUGGGAAAAGAUGACGGCUUUGAUCGCGCGCUCCGUGAACCGCUCGAAGACGGCGGAGACGACUCGGAGCUUCGAGGUCUUUCUCCUCCGGCCGCCAUGGAAGGGAGUAGCGAACAACGAGGAAGAAGAAGAAAAUGGAUUUACAAGGCGAAUUGAAACGACGGCGUUUCUGCGUUCAUAAGUAGUACUGGUGGAAGCAACGGCGGGAGUAAAUGAAACGUGUUGAGAUGGAGUUCUCCAUCGAAGCGGAGAUGAUAUCAGCACGGAGGAUGAUGACGACACAUGCAUUCUUCAGUUUCUGAUGACUUUUUCAGGCGGAGGAAGAAGAAAGAGGGAGAGGUGGGAAGUGUGGUAGUUUUGGUUUUGCUGUGGUUUUCUUUUGAAAUAGUAUAAUGAGAACAGUUAACGAAGCAACUUCAUUUUUAUAUAUACGUGUAGCUAUCAGACAGUUAGAGCUGAAAAUGAAUGGAAAUUGUGAUUCUAUUGUUAACCACGUCCAACUGUCCAAGCAAGAUCACUUCGCAAGCAAACAUCUCCUCUUACGGGGAAUUACCUUCGGCUCAAAUUUAAGUUCGUAAACGUAAAAUGCUCUUAAACAUUAGAGCUACAACGUCCGUCACAAAUUAGUUACAAACGAAAUAUCUUAACUAAUCUUUUAUUCUAAAAUAGAACAUGGCACCAUAAUUAAGUAGCAUAUGAUUGGAAAGAGGAGCAAAAUGUCACAUUGACCUGAUUUGAAUCUUGUCACAUUUAACCUGGUUUGAAUCUUCCUAGUGCUCUGUUUGAUGUUCUCUUCUUCAGGAACAAAAAGGUACAAAUUUGAAGUAUAAGCCUUGAACUGCAAGGAAAGCAAGGAAGAAGAAAGAGAGACGAAAGGUAUUGGGUAGAGUAGUACGACACGUCGACGCCAAGAACCCACAAAGUCAAAACUUUAGUCCAAUCACAACGCUGCGUUUUGUACUCAUCGCAUAUGUUUGUUUUUCUGUUCUACAUUCUACUACUGUCUCUUUUGUCUUCAUCAGAAAAUAAGAUGGCUUUUUGAACCAAGGCAUAGGACGGCUGACUCGGUUCAGUUUGAUACGCUACUCUUUCGUAACUAUCAAUUUGAGCCUCUAACCCAAAACGAAAAUAUCAAUUUGAGUCCUAUGAGAAAGUCUGGUUCAGCAUGCAACCUUAACCUACAUUCCUAAUGUCUUGUACAAUGUGAUGCAAAAGGGGAAAGGGGGUACCAGUACUUUGAAGAAGCAGCACCAAUUUCAACCGACUUUCCGGGACCUGCUGGCAGGCUAGCAGCUCUAGAGGACAAUGACAGGACCACUCUGCCCAAACAUUCUUUCAUUUUUGCCUAUAAUGAUCCAACACUUUCGAAGUAGUGGUAGGCAUUGAGCAACUUGCCCCAUUCUGUUAAGAGAUCCCAUUCAAUCACAUAAGGAAAUUUCAUCGACAUCUCCAUUCUCCACAUAACAUGGGACAUUCCCUCACCUCGAGCCAAUCCUGAACCCGAAGAGAUCCCAGUGCAGUGUCCAAUGCGACUGAUCUGAUAAGUUCUGAAACAACCUACUUCUUGCAUUUAGCACACAUCUUGCUGAGAGAUGCACUUCCUAUCUUCAUAAAGAAGCAUUUACACAUUGCUUGUCAACUCUCUCUGCUUCUAGUAUCAAGCAUUUCGCUUCAGACAGGAUUUCAACAGCUCUCAGAUGAUUGGCUCCAAAGAAUCUCAGCGUAAGCCUUCUCAUCUUCCUUCUCUUCAACAACAAAAUCAGUUGCCUCGACAUCUUCAUCUUCAUCUGGAAUCUCUUCCAUAACUUCUGCCUGAAUCUCUUCCUCUCUAUGUUUUUCUCUCUCUUUUUCAGUAAGUUCAGCUAAUGCCUGCCACAUAGCCAGCCUCGUUGCUGGCCUGUCUCCUCGCUUGUAUUUUGGAGCAGGCACCACAAAUGGCAAAACAACAUCAUCCAAGUUUGUGCUAUUUUGAUUGGCAUUACUGUCUGUCUCUGUUUGGGGAAAGGUGAAAAUGAUCCCGAGUUCAUAAUUGCAAAUAUGUAGCAUAUGAUCCGGAGAUGAAUUGACAUUCCCUAUUCCAUUUGUUUUUAAACUAGAUGGAGUGGAAAUUGAACGUCCCCAGGCAGCUGCACUGAAGUUAUGUGACCCGCAGUAAACCCAACCACAUGAAGAUGCAUCUGUCCUAGACUGGAACCGUCUUCGGGCCACCUGCUUACAGAUAAGAGGAUACUGUUAUAACCAUAUGGCAAUGUAUGACAAGAUGUCAGAUCCUUAAAGGAACAGAUUAGCACACUGAUGAGAAACAUAUGCAAUAACUAAGCAUACAAAUUAAGAUGGGGCGUACUAGAUUCUAUGGAAAUACUUUCUACUUGGUGGAAAAGGAAAAGAAAAGGAGCAUCUGAAAGAGAAUAUAUGAAUGGGGUAUUUCUUCAAAUAAGAUUAUAGUUCUAAUUGAUCAGUAAAUAUGUAGCCUAAAGAAGAGGCUUUUGUUGUCACAGUUGAAGGGGUUACUUAAGAAGCUUCAGGAUUGACUAAUUUAGAACACUCUCAAUUCUUAUGGCUCCAAGCACUUUCUAUCUCAAACAUCCUCUAAUACUAUACUUUUGAUUUCUCUAACCUGUUUGGUUUUACUUUAAACCAACCUUUUCUGAGGAUUAUACAACCAAAAACCAGUUUCUCAUUGAUGAAAGCAUAUAAACCUUUUUCAUAGUCGUACUAUUUAUCUUCUUUGCAGUUUGACAUAUAAAUCAGAUAAAUUUUACUCUUAAAUCUGUCACAAUCAGCCCCGACCCGUUAUUUGUUCUGCAAUUCUGCACUAUAUCAGUCCUGCUCCUAACCAUUUAUGUAUGCAUCUUAUCUCUAAGCCAUGCAACAACUCCUGAAAGCAUUAAAUGCAAAGAUGCAGGUUAAUAGAUCACUAGGGUUUCAAAUACCUAAAAAGAGAAAAGAGCACAGGAAAUCCAAAUCAAUAGCUCUGUAUGUUACCAAGAUGCUUAAUAGCAAAAGCAGUAUCAUUAUCAAUGCUAAUUGUAACUAUUGUACACCGUAAUCUGAUAACUAGAAGAGCACUGCAAAUCAAUAGUUCCAUAUGAUACCAAGAAAUAAAAGGAAAGGGAAUAGUUUUUCUACAUAUGUAAAUCCACAAAAGUCCUAAUUUUAUAAAACAGGAUCUCAUACCUUGGUAUGCAUUGGAUAUCCCACUCUAUCAUAGGGAUGAGGAAUUGCAUCAUGAAGUAUAUCUACUGUCCUCAGCCUUUGCCAUGUUUUCUGCAAACCAACGAAACAAUAAGAUAUCGAAAGUAAACAAUCAAAUGAAAGAAAUUCUUGAAAGAAGAAAACAUUAUCAAUUGGUGACUGUUCAUAAUCAUUUGAUAACUUGAGACGACAUGAAAAUUUACAGUCAGUAGGAGGAUUCUGUAACAUUAUUAAUUUCUCAUCUUACUCACCAGAAUAGGUUUUCUAUGAAAUAUGGAAAAGGAAUAAGAUUGGCAAAUGCAGUUCAAGUGCUUUUUGUAUGAGCAUACUAACUAAAGCAUGUGCUGUAAAAUACCAAAGUAUAUACCACAAUACAAUGUAUCUGCAUCCAUCCUAACCAAGAAACUAGAAAUGUCUCUUAACCUGUGGUGAACAGGAAAAGACUUCCUGUCAUCCAUGAAUAAAGGCAAAAAUGUAAUGGAAUUUACACCUAUUAGGUUAAACUGUAAAUAACCAAGUGUUGAGGAAGGAAGCACAAUCUAUUAUCUCCCUCUCAAUCCACAGAAUUCUUUACGAACAUGGAAAUAGCUCAUUUUGGCCCUACUGACCCCACCAACUUCGACUUAAAUUGCAGAUAACAACCCACCAUCGAGAACUAUUACAUAAUGCUGAGAAGAUCAUACCUCAGAGAAGCAAAGAACACGUUUUGAAGGAAAAAUUCCACUACGUGCAUUCUUCACUCUUUCGAUGGUUGGAAAAAUGAUUCUAAUGGAUGGAUCCUUUGAUUCAUGACGAGCAUUCCAACAUCCCCACUGUUAAGACCAUUCACUACUUGAUGAAUCAGUAAACAUAAAUUUUUUGAAAAUUUCUAUAAAAGCACAAGUGUGUUUAAUCACCUCUGGAUCAGACUCCUCAGAAUCAAACUGAAAUGAUUUCUUUCCUGCAGCUGCUGAAAAUUCGGCUAAAAAUUUUGCAUUGAUUGACCCAAUUGAAGAUGCACCUUAGAGUGAAAAAAGAAAAUAAAAAGAACAAAAUUAAUAACAUGUCUUUGAAGCUCCUUGUUGUGACUAACAAAGAAUAUGUAUUUACCAACUUUCUUGGAUAUAUGUUAAAAUUACACUCACCAUAAACAAACUCAGACUCAAGCGAUUCAGGCCAUUUAUAUUGACCUAAAACCUAACAAGAAGAAAAGAUUCAUAAGACACUGAAAGUGACAUCGAGAAUAACUAUUUAUAAGAAUUGGAUUGAUGAAGUGUAUAAAUAAUCAUGGAUGCAAAAAUAUGUUACAGAAAUUUGAUGACAAAGAGUUUCACUGAGAUUACCUCCUGCAAGCGCCAGAGGCCUGUACACCUUUCAAUUGCUGCAACCAAAGAGCAUAAUGCAAUAACAUGUUGAGGUUGCAUCAUCUUUGAUAUAUCCUGAAACUGUGGUCCCUGCAAACAUUCAGCUCUCAUCUUUAUAUAUACCCACUCCAAAUCUAAACAUGUUAAGAUUUAGAGUCUUAGACUAUCUCCAGCCUACGCAACCUCAAUAUGUAAGUCAUAUCCAAUAAUCUAGGAUAUAAUUGUACCUGUAACACAUGCAGUCUCAGCCAUACUUUCUUGUUGUUUCCUCCUAGAGCUGCUCCAACGGCUUCUUUAGGACAUACGUAACCUGAGAAUCUAAAAAACCCAAUAUCCCAGAGUGGAGAGAUCCAUUUUGCAAUGUUUUUAGGCAAAAACCCAAGUUGAACGCAAUCUACUACAAGAAAAAAGGGAAUAAGACAAUUUGGUGAGCUAGCAGCAUAGACGGUCACACGAUUAACAACUUAGAAUCACAUUUAAACUAACUGUGAUACUUGAAGCAAGAUCGAAAGAAAUUUGCACAAUUGUAUGAUUACAUUCUGCCAAAACCAAAAAUAUAGAAUAAUAUGAAAAACUAUACACCAGUGAGGUGUUCUGGACCAAAACUUUUACCUCUCUCAGAGAACUUGUUAGGAUUUGACACAUGAAUGCUCACUGCAUUUGCAUCAGCAGGUAUAUUUGUGUUUCUUGUUAAGACAAUUGAUAAAUCUUUUGCUUCACAAGAUUUCCUGAGAAAUGAAGCCAGUUUCUUCAGCUUUGCACCAUUUGCAUCUGUUGCAUUGUGAAAGAGGUAGCUUAGGCCGACCACAGAUGUUUCAACUGAUCCAAGGAAUUUCAUACCAGAUGACCCUGAUGGACCGCGAUCAGCCUGACAAGAAACAUAGUGAGAAUUUUUUUUUAUUGAGUUAAUUUAACAAAAUAAUCCAAAAGACCUAGUUAAUCAAGCAGCCAUAAAAAGAAGCAAAUGAAGUGUUCCCCCUCGUCACUGAAGAGAUGCGACAACCAAAAAAGCGAGUUAAAUCCUAUCGAGAAACAGAAAAAGUUCAGUUUAUACUUGAGAGGUCGGCCUUUACUGAACAUUAUACCCAGACAGAGAAUAAAAGAUGAAAGUCAUGAUUGACAUUUGAGUCCUAUGGAGCGUAAGUAUUGAAGUGGUAUUGACAUUUGCACUUCAGCUUUCAAUUCAACCAAAAAGAUGCAGGGACUGAAAACACUUACACACACAGAGUUUCUGGAUUCUAUUAUAUAGGGAGUUUUAUAUGAAUGGAUUCCAGGUAUAGAAGCAACCAAAUGUCCCAUUGCUCCUCCAAAAUCAUACUUUGCCAACUCAACAAUCCACUGGGCCUGACUUGGUACAUCGGUCAGUAGAGUUGCUAGAAAUCCAGCCAGAUAUGAAGCAAAAUCCGAUUUUGAGUCUUGAUUUACUUCCCUGCCGGGAAAUUGAGUAAAAAGUGAUGAAUAAUCAGGAGCACUUCUGCGAGGGAAAUCUUGCCACCAGACGGUAUUGGUUACCGCAUUCCACUGCUUAGUUAUAAGAAGCGUUAGUAAUUUUGUAACGGAUCAUGAUGGGAACUAAAACAGAAUGUCAGAUUGUUGAAAAGUUCAUACACAGCUCAUUUUAGUUUAGGUCAUCACCUGUGUUGGCACUAAAUUGGCAGAGGUAAUGAUAACACGAAUACUAUCAUCUCUCUGUAAAACAAACAAUUUUGGAUGAUGGCAACCAAUGCCAUGUCUUUUCAGGUCUUCACCAAAAGCUAUGGCCUCAGGGAAUGGGGGAUACCUAUUAGAAUGAGAAAUGAAUAAAGAAGAAUGAAUAAACUUAAAAAGAAAGAUACUCUGCCCCAGUUCAACAUAUAUUAGUCUACUGUACACUACCAAACAUGCCCAAUUAAUGAAUGAGAUGUAUGGCAAUAUUCUUACACUACGAUUAAGUUUGGAAAUUCUGGGUAAGGCGCAGAUGUUCUACUUUCAGUGCUUGAACUCCAACAUCUCUCUGUACUAUGGCAAGCAACUGUUACUGGCAGAUGGCUGGGAAUCUCACAGGUUGACAAAAA